CAUGAUUCACCAAGUGUAGUCUGAAAAUACUGAACAAAAACGUCAGCUAUGUUAUCAGGUUCGUGUUGCAUUUGCCUAUGCAUAACUUAAAUUUGAAAAAUUAUAUUGAUUGUAUGAGUUUCCAUUGCUUAAUGACAGUGAAAAAUUAUUCAGUGACCUCAUACCCUUGUCUAAUUCAUGUUGCUUUACUUGUCUGCAUAGGAAAGAACUAGCUAGGCUAAUUGAUCUCAAAGAACUAGCCAUGCUAAUUGAUCGCCUAAACCUUGCAUUCAGUUCUUUAUAUUCAGUAUAUAAUACAAUAUUUUUAGGUCCUGUUAGAGAAGACUUUGAACCUUGCAUAAUGCCUCUCUAUCCUCACCUACUUCAUGCACAUGUUGCUAAAAUUCUGCUUAUCUAAUCUCUUUAGGUGUUGCUUGAGAAGUUUUCGCUUUAGGUGUUACUUGAGAAGUUUUCGCUUUCUUACCACUUGAUACAUGUUAUAGCAUGUAAUUGGAAUGCAAAAAUUAGUCUAUACUAUCUAUUGAAAAUCUUAAAACUUAGUCUAUACUAUCUAUUGAAAAUCUUAAAACUUACUCCAUCUAUGACAAUACAAGACUAUAUUACUUUUCCUACUACUAGUUUAACCAUAUGGACGACUAAAGGAUCGAUAUCACUAAUGUCCUCAAGGUGGAAUUAGAUAUAUAACUAGGUUUGUUGCCCUUUCAGCUCUGUGUAUACUGACUGUAUAUAACAAAUCAGUUUCCUUGUCUAUCACCGUGCAUACACGAUAUACUAGUGUCGAAACCUGUGUAUCAGCUUCCAAAAUCUGCAUAAUUGCUUCCCUUUCCCAUCUUUCGCUGUAUAUCACUAGUAUACCAUUGUAUAUUCGAUGUAUACCGCUGCAAAUCAGUCCUUCGAAGACUUUGGCAUGGCGUUGGACUCGAAAGAAAUGCAAGAAGGGAUUCCAUUGGACUCGCAGGUUGGUCAUGCAUCAAAACAAAGAGAAUGAAUAAGUAUUUGCAUGGAAAAACAUCUAGUUUAAAGACGAAAGAUACGGGAAAAUAGUGUAUGGCCUUAAGGAAGUAAAAUCUGGACAAUCAAUCACCAAACUUUUCUUUAUCUUACGCACACCCAACAAGAGCAUGAAAAAUGACAUAACACGAGCUAAUGCACACCCAACAGGAGCAUGAGAAAUGACAAAGCAUAUUAACCUUUAGCAAUAACAAAUAACAAUUACUCAUUUGCUAUUGACUUAUUCCCCAAAAUUCUUUUAAUACAACAACCGACCACUCAUCUUUAAUAGCUUCGACAGAUGAUUAAACAUUACCAAGGCUGGGAUAAUUUUAGCACAAUUCAUGUUCUACCAUAUGCAGGAAAAGUCACACCAAGCCAGGGUAUUAACUUUAAACGUAAUCAUAUUUUAAGGUAUGAAAUAAACGUAAUCAUUAUAUUUUCCUAUACUGUCGGGUAGUUGUGGCUGUGGGUGGUAAUGGGUGGAUAGGGUCAUGUCCGAGGGGGUUGGGGCGUGGGGGCGUNNNNNNNNNNNNNNNNNNNNNNNNNNNNNNNNNNNNNNNNNNNNNNNNNNNNNNNNNNNNNNNNNNNNNNNNNNNNNNNNNNNNNNNNNNNNNNNNNNNNNNNNNNNNNNNNNNNNNNNNNNNNNNNNNNNNNNAGUGGGGGGCGCGUGGAUAGCGACGGUAGGCUGAGGGUUGGGUCUUGGAAUAUAGGGACCCUUCAGGGGAAGUCCAUAGAGCUGGUGAAGAUUCUUAGGAAGAGAAGGAUCAACCUUGCGUGUGUCCAAGAGACCAAGUGGGUAGGGUCUAAGGCUAGGGAUGUGGACGGUUACAAGCUGUGGUACUCUGGGAGCGACAGGCGUAGGAAUGGAGUUGGCAUCUUGGUAGAUGAAGAGCUUAGAGGUCAGGUAGUGGAGGUGAAGAGGAUCAACGAUAGGUUGAUGACUAUCAAGUUGGUCAUUCGGGGGUUUACCCUGAACGUGUGUAGUGCCUAUGCGCCGCAUGUGGGAUCGGAGGGGGAGGAGAAGAUGCGGUUCUGGGAGGCCUUGGAGGACGUGGUGAGAGGCGUGCCCAGUUCGGAGAAGAUUGUGGUAGCAGGGGAUUUCAACGGGCACAUCGGGGCGCUACCGGGAGGCUUUGGGGAUGUGCAUGGAGGUUUUGGUUUUGGGGAGAGAAAUGAAGAGGGGGCGACCCUAUUGGAGUUUGCGAGGGCGUUUGGGCUGGUGGUGGUGAACUCGGGCUUCCCGAAGAAGGACGACCACCUGAUCACUUUUCGGAGCGCGGUAGCCAGGACCCAGAUUGACUUCUUGUUGCUUAGGAAAGGGGAUAGGGCGCUGUGUAAAGAUUGUAAAGUCAUCCCGAGUGAGAACCUUUCGACCCAACAUAGGCUCUUGGUUAUGGAUUUGGGUAUGAAGAAGAAUAAAAAGAGGAGGAGUAAGGAGUGUAGACCGAGAAUUAAGUGGGGCGGUUUGACGCCAGUGAAUGCGUGGGAGAUAGGGGAGAGGUUGGCGGGAAUGGGGGUGUGGGAGUGUAGGGGGGACGUGGAUAAUAUGUGGGACAGGGCGGCAGCGUGCAUCAGGGAAAAUGCAAGGGAGGUGUUGGGUGUUUCUAGGGGCCGGGCCGGACAUCAUCGGGGGGAUUGGUGGUGGAAUGAAGAGGUGGGGAAGAAAGUGGAGACCAAGAAAGAGUCGUAUGCUAAGUUGGUGGAAAGUAAGGACGAAGAGGAGAAGCGGGUAAACAGGAAAGAGUACAAGCUAGCGAGGAAGGAGGCGAAGUCAGCGGUCACGGCAGCUAAGACGGCUGCUUUUGAGAGCUUGUAUGCAGGGUUACAGGGGAAAGGAGGGGAGAAAAAGUUGUUCCGACUCGCUAAGGCUAGGGAGAGGAAGGGUCGUGACCUCGAUCAGGUGCGGUGCAUUAAGGGGGAGGACGGUAGAGUGUUGGUGGAGGACGGCCACAUAAAGAAGAGAUGGCAGUCGUACUUUCAUAGGCUCUUGAAUGACGAGGGGGACAGAGCUAUUGUGUUAGGGGAACUGGAGCACUCAGGGGAGUGUCGGGAUUUUAGCUAUUGUAGACGUUUUAAGGUAGACGAGGUUAGACAGGCAGUCCGCAGGAUGCGAAGGGGUAGGGCGACGGGGCCGGAUGAGAUACCGGUGGAGUUUUGGAAGUUCGUUGGAGAGGCUGGUGUAAGGUGGUUGACUGCAUUGUUCAAUGAAAUUUUCAGGACGGCAAAGAUGCCCGAGGCGUGGAGGUGGAGUACCAUGAUCCCCCUCUAUAAGAAUAAGGGGGACAUUCAGUGUUGCAAUAACUAUAGGGGGAUUAAGUUACUGAGUCACUCUAUGAAGAUAUGGGAGAGAGUGGUCGAGGUGAGGCUGAGACGGAUAGUGUCUAUUUCGGAAAACCAGUUCGGAUUUAUGCCCGGCCGCUCGACGACGGAGGCAAUCCACCUGGUACGGAGGUUGGUGGAGCAGUAUAGGGAGAGGAAGAAGGAUCUGCACAUGGUGUUCAUCGACCUGGAAAAGGCGUACGACAAAGUCCCCAGGGAAGUGCUUUGGAGAUGCUUGGAGGUGAGUGGAGUACCGCAGGCAUAUAUCAGAGUAAUUAAGGAUAUGUAUGAGGGAGCGAAAACCCAGGUGAGGACGGCGGGAGGAGACUCAGAGCAUUUCACUGUCCUGACAGGAUUGCAUCAGGGAUCUACUCUUAGUCCCUUUUUGUUUGCGUUAGUAAUGGAUGUGUUGACGCGGCGUAUCCAAGGGGAGGUGCCGUGGUGUAUGCUUUUUGCAGACGAUGUAGUCCUGAUAGAUGAGACUCGAGGGGGUGUGAAUGACAAAUUAGAGUUGUGGAGGCAAACUCUGGAGUCUAAAGGGUUCAGGGUGAGCAGAACCAAGACAGAGUAUGUGGAAUGUAAGUUUAAUGACGUGAGGCGGGAGAAUGAGGUAGUAGUGAGGCUAGAAGCACAGGAGGUAGGGAAGAGGGAUAAGUUCAAGUAUCUCGGGUCCGUGAUCCAGAGUAACGGUGAGAUUGACGAGGAUGUCUCGCACCGUAUUGGGGCGGGAUGGAUGAAGUGGAAACUCGCAUCGGGGGUGCUGUGUGAUAAGAAGGUGCCGCCCAAGCUUAAAGGCAAAUUCUAUAGGGUGGUAGUCCGUCCGGCCUUGCUGUAUGGAGCGGAGUGUUGGCCAGUUAAGAACUCCCACAUCCAAAGAAUGAAGGUGGCAGAAAUGCGGAUGUUGCGCUGGAUGUGUGGACUGACUCGAGGGGAUAGAGUUCGGAAUGAGACUAUCCGGGAGAAGGUUGGUGUGACUUCAGUGGAGUGUAAGAUGCGGGAAGCACGAUUGAGAUGGUUCGGACACGUGAAGAGGAGGGGCAUGGAUGCCCCGGUCCGUAGGUGUGAGAGGCUAGCGUUGGAUGGUUUUAGGCGGGGGAGGGGUAGGCCGAAGAAGUACUGGGGUGAGGUGAUUAGGCGGGGCAUGGAACAGUUACCGCUCACCGCGGACAUGACCCUAGAUAAGAAGGUCUGGAAGACGCGAAUUACCNNNNNNNNNNNNNNNNNNNNNNNNNNNNNNNNNNNNNNNNNNNNNNNNNNNNNNNNNNNNNNNNNNNNNNNNNNNNNNNNNNNNNNNNNNNNNNNNNNNNNNNNNNNNNNNNNNNNNNNNNNNNNNNNNNNNNNNNNNNNNNNNNNNNNNNNNNNNNNNNNNNNNNNNNNNNNNNNNNNNNNNNNCCCGUUAUGAUUCCGUAUUCAGUGUUCCAUGCUUAUUACGAAUCUGUGUGCUUUCCUCUGCUUUCCUCUGUUUUAUAUUCCUUAUGGGUGUCGUAUUUAUGUUAUGUCAUCUGCUUCUGUGCUUUACUAUGUGUUUGUGUGAUAUCUUGUGCCUUGAGCCGGGGGUCUUUCGGAAACAGCCUUUCUACUUCAUCAGAGGUAGAGGUAUGGACUGCGUACAUCUUACCCCACAGACCCCACUAAGUGGGAAUACACUGGGUUUGUUGUUGUUGUUGAAAUAAAUUGAGUCUCUUAACAUGCUUUAAAGUAAAGCAAACAGAACACCAAAAAGACAUACAGAAGAUUCAAGUUUUGCAACUAUUAAAUGCAUAAUAGUAAGAAAUUUCACAACACAAGAUCGCAUUGAUCACAAAAAAAAAUCCUACCACCAUGAACUACCAUUACACGAGAAGAUACUGGAUAUUCAUUCUACUAUCAUGAAAGCAAGUCAAAUACUUAUCCUAUGAAAUUUUUAGCUAAAGAUAAGAUUCAGUCAACCAAAAUCUUUAAUUAGAGCACAUGAAAACAAAUUCUAAUCAAGACCCCAACCAAAAAACAACUAACAAAUGCAUAAACUUCACGGAGUUUGGCCUGUUUAAGAAAUUAGUGAAAGUGCAAGAAAAAAUCCACUCUAACACUAUUGGUUUAAUACAACCAAACUAUGCGAUAAAUCAAAACACUUUACAUUAUGAAAACAUCAUAGUUCGGAAUUGAAGGAAAAGAGGAGGCUUUUACCUUUUUAGGGCAGCAAUUUGGACUUAGAGCUUCCUCGAAAAAUUCUUUCCACCACCGGAAUGAAUUUAGAUUCUUAGCCUAGAAAUUGACCUCAAAUGAGUCGUAUCAAAUUUCUUGACACUGGAAUGGAAUUCUUCUUCGGACACACUUUUUGGGGAUCCCGCUAUUCGACCUCUCCAACCUUUUUCUCAAUGAAAUGAGUAGCCUAUUUAUAGAAAUAGAUGAGGAUUGAUUUUCUAGCUUCCACCGAUGUGGGAAUGAGUUUCUUCAAGGGCAUUUUUUGGAUUUUGUAGAGGGGAAAUUUGAAAUUAUGUAUAGGAUAAGGUUUAAGCUGUAAUCGUACAACUCCAUACGAAUUUGAAUUUCAAAUUUAAAAAGUUCAAACGGAUUGAGAGCAACGUUGGGUAAGAUCUGGUCAUACUUGAUUCUGUUGUUUUGCUGGAGUUCGUUGGUGUUGAUUUAGCUGUUGUACGCCAAUUUUGUUGGUGUUGUUUGGAAGCUGUUGUUCGUUGUUGAUGUUGCUUCACUGGGUUGGUCGCGGUUUAUGCUGGAUUUGUCGAUGGUUUGCUGUUGUCAAUGUUGGAUUGUAUGGUGGUGGCUGCUGUCAGCGUCUGUUGAUGGAGUUGUUUUGUACACUGGAAUUGGGUUAAGAUGGAGGAAAGGGAUUGGGCCGGGUCUGGUUGUGAAUUGGACUGCUGGAAUGGGCCUGGGGCGGGUUCAGUUGAAUUAAAAAGAGUGUGUAAAAUUAGAAGAAUGGUAAAUUACACAAAUCCCAUACUUAAAAGAAACAAUAUUAGCUAAUAUCCAUUACUUUUUUUAAAUUUACAUAAAAUUCCAUUUUUCAACUCUACUCUUCAUACAUGUCAAGAAAACCCCACAUCCUAUUUUUAUUCCACCAUUAACUCAUUCAAAAUUUCCUUCCCUAAAAUAUCUCCUUAAUUAUCAACAAUUAAAUCAUCUUCCUCCCUGAUUUUAUCUCUUACAUUAAUACUUAAAUUAUCUUCCUUUCUGAUUUUUUCUCCUCCAUUAAUGCAUACAACUUUUUUUUCCCUCUCCUAAAAUCCCUCCCAUUUUUUUUUAAAAAAUCUAUUGAUACAUAUAUAAAUUUAUUUAGUUAUUCAUACAUGUUUAUUCUUUUAAUGGUGAUUCAUAUGAAUGAUAAAUACAAUAUCAUUAUAUAGGUAUUAUGGUGAUUCAUACGAUAGAUACAUUUUGUAUGAUUUUAACGGGUGAUACAUAUGAUAUUAAUGGGUGAUAUAUAUUGUAUUAUGAUGAUUCAUAUAGUAGAUACAAUUAUUUAUUUCAAUUAUUGGGUGAUUCAUAUAUAUGGUAUUAUGUUGAUUCAUAUGAUAGAUACAAUUAUUUAUUUCAAUUAUUGGGUGAUUCAUCUGAUAUUAAUGAGUGAUAUAUAUGAUAUUAUGGUGAUUCAUAUGGUAGAUAUAAUUAUUUAUUUCAAUCAUUGUGUGAUUCAUAUGUUAUUAAUGAAAGAUAAUGGUGUAGUCAGUGUAGGAAACAAAAGUAAUAAUAUUUUUUUAAAAAAAGACUAAAAACAUAAUUGAAACAUAAUUAAAAUUAAAUCUAAAAAAAACAGACUAAAAUUAAAGACUAAAUUAAAGACGAAAAAGGAGAAAAAAGACCAAAAAAAAAUAUAUCUUUCAUAAUUAAAGACGGAAAAAGAGAAACAUAAUUAAAACACCUAAAUUACAUCUAAAAAAAAAAAGAGAGAAAAAAUUGAUACCUUUCCUUGAAUAAAAGAGAAUCUGUUACUUCCUUAAAUAAAUAUCUUGUUAGUUUCAAAUGUAUCACUUUUUUAUAUGUAUCACCAUUUUAAAAAACCGAGAUAAAAUGUAAUUAAUAAAAUAAUCAAAAUUUUAUGUAAUAUCACUUAAAGAUUAAGGGAUUUAUGUAAGUUACCCUAUUUUAUUUAUAAAUUCAUAUUUGAUCACUUGUUUGUAAUGAAUUCUUAAAUUUGAUUGAGUCAAACGAAAUUUCCUUUUGAAUUUUCAUUUUUAUUUUGUCUUACAUUUUUAUUUCUUUAUAAUUCGUCACGUAGUCUAAUUUUUUGGGUUAAUAAAAUCAGGCUUUUUAUGUUUUCCUUAAGAAUAAGCCUUUUAGAAAUCAAAAUUUAUCCAUUUGUUAACUUACUUGAGAAAAUUGAAGGAAAAGUAUCUUUCAAGUUUUGAGUGAAGGAUUAGUGACAUUGACCAACUUAAAGGGUCAAACAUAGUUAGAAAACUUGAUUAAGUUAAUUGUGGACUUGAUUAAUAUUUUCAAAACUUUCUAUUCUUUUCAAAAAUACUAAUCAACCCACACCCCUCUUCUCUCCAAAUCAUCGUCCGUCUCUCUCUUCUCUCUCUUUGACAGUUUCUCUCAACUCCUUUCCAACCAACAGUUCUGAAAAAUUUCUCUCUUCAAUCCUCGAUGACUUCAACCAUCGGCGAUAAAUAUUCGGGCGAGUUUCUUUUCGACUUUCAACCGUCAAUCGAUGUGAAGACUUCUUUGGCGACAACAACUUCUAGUUCUUCGUCCUCUCAUAUCUUCUUUCACAGGUAAAAAAUUAUGUCUUUUUAGUUAGGAAAAACCAGAGGAACUUGAGCCAACUUCUCUUUUAGUAUUAGUUAACAAUUUCAGUAUUUCUUGCUUAAAUUUAAAAUAUGGACUAAAUAAAAUCCUAAUUUAUGGCAUUUCUUCUCUACUCUUUUCGGUGUAAAAUAUAAUUUUUUGUCAUUAUUGUAGUUCUUGUUGUCAAGCUGUUGAUUCAAGUUGUUGGUGAUUUUUGGUCACUAUUGAUGUUCUUAGUGUGUGUGUGUUGUGUUGGUGUGCUGGGUUGAUUUGUUAUUUUUCUUGGUAAAAAUGGUAUUGCAACAGAUUAACUAUCUGAUGCAACAGAUUAACCACCUGAUGUAACAUAUUAACCAUCUGAUAAAACAGAUUAACCAUCCGAUGCAACAGAUUAACUAUCUGGUUCAAUAGAUGAAACAUCUAAUGCAACAGAUGAAUAGAAUAGAUCAUUCAUCUAUUGCGACAGACGACUCUUCUAUUUGAAAGAAAUCUAAAUAAUAUUGAUCCAACAGAUAACUCAUUUGGCAACAGACGAGUGAUCUGUUUCAACAGAUGUGUGGUCUUUUUUUAUUGUUUCCAACGGAUUACUCAUCCGCUGCAAUAAGUUGCUUAUAGGUUGCAAUAGAUAACCUACCUGGUGUAAUAGAUGAGAUAUCUAUUUUUAUUGUUUCCAAUGGAUUACUCAUCCAUUGCAACAGGUUGGUUAUAUGCUGUAAUAGAUAUCCUACCUGAUGCAAUAGAUGAGUGAUCUGUUUUUAUUAUUUCCAACGGAUUACUUAUCCGUUGUAAUAGGUUGGUUAUAUACUGUAAUAGAUAUCCUACCUGGUGCAAUAGAUGAGUGAUUUGUUAUAAUUAUUUCCAACGAAUUACUUAUCCACUGCAAUAAGUUGGUUAUAUGCUGCAACAGAUAUCCUGCCUAGUGCAACAGAUGAGUGAUCUAUUUUUAUUGUUUCCAAUGGAUUACUCAUCUGCUGUAAUAGGUUGGUUAUAUGCUGUAACAGAUAUCCUACCUGGGCAACAGAUGAGUGAUCUGUUAUAAUUAUUUCUAACGAAUUACUCAUCCAUUGCAACAGGUUGGUUAUAUGUUGCAACAGAUAACCUUUCUGGUGCAACAGAUGAGUGAUCUAUUUUUAUUAUUUCUAAUGGAUUAUCAUUCGUUGCAACAGGCUGGUUAUAUAUUGCAACAGAUAGCCUUCCUAGUGUAAUAAAUGAGUGAUCUAUUUUUAUUGUUUCCAACGGUUUACUCAUUUAUUUUAUUAGGUCGAUUUUAUGUUGCAACAGAUAACAUACCUGGUGUAAUAGAUGUGUGGUCUGUUGGAACUAUUAUUUUACUAUUUUGCAUGUUAGAUUUACUGUUAUAUUUUUUAACGAUGCAUUAAUCAAUUAUAAUCUAUUUUAUGUUCCUGCUAAUUUAAGAUAAUAUGGCUCCCAAAAGAAAAAAAACUGAAUCAAGUUCAAGUAAAGGAACAAGUAAAGCAGCUAGGCUACAUCCACCACUCUAUGAGCUUGCUUUACAAGUGUUAUCUCAAUUAGGAACAGAAGAUAAUGAACACGGGGAGGAGGAAUAUUUCAAAAGAGAUGAUCCAAAUAGUAAUAGCCCUUCCACCGAAGAGUUGGUCAAAACCUUCAGCUCUGAUCGUUAUCCUGUGAGAAUGCAGUGCGAUGGUGCCACAGAUUUAACAGGUAAUUUCUUGGUUAGGUCGGUCAUGGGAAAAUCUUUCGACACCUUCAGAAAAAUACUUCGAUAAUAAAAAUUGGAUUCUUAUUUCAGGGAAAGCUGCUUUGGAAAAUAUCUUAAUUGGUCGGAGGACAGCAAUACUCGUUUCCAAAUGAAAAUGGUAUAUGAUCUUCUCAAGCGUAGGUUUAUGUAUGAAAACAAAGAUAAGAUGGAUGAGGAUUGAGGUGUGGAUAAAUUACUGUGGCAUGCCUGUUUAUUUUGGUUGGAAGAAGUUUGCCAUAGUUGCUGGACUAAAAUGUUAUCCUCCUCCCCUUUCUCAAGUUAUACCUACUCUAACCCAAAAAAAAAACCCUGCACACCCAAAAAAAGCAAUGGCAAGUCGAGUGAUCUCGAUGAUCUGGUGUCCAUUGUUGGUCUAAGCUCCAAAAAUAAAAAUUUGAUAGAAGUGUUGAAAGGUGCUUGGUUUGAUUUGUACAUAAUAUUCUUUGGGAGAGAGACGUUAACAACAACAUAAGCCUUGGUUUAAUAAGUCUCUCGAGGAUCUUGAGGUAUUUAACAGCCAUCCUUGAGGUUAUGAAAGCUUCAAAAUGACUGUCAAAUACUUGUUGACUCCGUUAACGCCAAAGACAAUUAAUUUACAUGGCUUUCCAUGGGCUUUCAUGGUAAAUAUUUCUUUUAUCAUGGUAUGGAUCAUUUUUUUAUUCAAUAAUGCUUUUGAUUUAUUGGCGUUAUGUUAUAAGCUUGGGUAUUUGAAGUCAUUCUUAUUUGAGACAACAAGUGAACUACUAGGAAGAAGUUUCCUGUCCAAGAAUUCUGAGAUAGUUGUCGGCCAAAACUGAUAAAAAUGCAAAAUUUCUUGAUCUUUUUAAUCCCCUAAAGAAAGCAGUAAGUCUAAUUCUAAUCAAGUUUUUAUUUUAAUAAUGAUUAUUUUAAAUGAUUUCAUCAUCAUUCUAAUAUAUGCACUGAUUUAUUUUAGAUUGUACAUCCGUGGUUUGUUUCGACCAAUCGAGAGUUGAAGAUGCCAUUUUUUCUUACUUUACAGUCUAUGUAAACUUUAUCAGACCCUAAGGUCAUUGAUAGAAUAAAAAUGGAAUUAUUUGGAGAAACAACCAUCACAAGAAAAAUAAUUUUGGAGUGUGGGCUUGUUGUUGUUGAUGAUGGUAGUGGUAGUGGUGCUGCUGUUGGGGCUAAUGAUGCUCCUCUUAUAGUUUUUGAAACAGCAAGCCAUUAUGAUUAUGAUCAUACUAGUUAUACAUAUUUUGCCACUUCUAGCAAAUGUUCUGCAUGCAAAUGUCAAGACUGCAAGAUGAAACAUGAUGGAGUGAUUAAUACUAUUAAUGCACUAACUACUUUUGUAAAAGAAAUGACAUAUAAGAGGGGUGUCAUUCCAUCAAAGAGGAUUUCAUAUCCAUACACUCCACUAGAGAUCAAGGUGGCUAAGAGGAGAAGGAAAGGUAUUUCCAGGGUAUCAUCAAGCAUAAAAAAAGCAAAAUUACAACACCUCUGUCUUUGUCUUGCAUUGCUAUUCAAUGUACAAAGGCCACAAGAGAGCAGCAUGAGCUGAAGAAGGUGAUCUAUAUCAUCUGUUCCAACAAACAGACAGGCACAUAUUUGUUUCAACAGAUGAUACAUUUGCUGAAAUUAUCAAACGGAUAUAUACAUCUGUUGCAACUGUUGUCUAACUUGUUACAUUAGAUGCGUUAUCUAUUGCAAUAUAUGCCCGUCUAUUUCAUUAAAUCAAAUAGGUUAUUGUACUAUUUUAAUUUGUACCAAUAGAUGAGCCUCAUGUCACAACAGAUGGUCAUUUGUUCAAAAUUAUCAUACCGCUCUAUUUUACCUAUUCGAAUUUAUCCCAAUAGAUGAUCCAUCUGUUGCAACGUAAGACUCAUCUGUUGCAAUAGAUAGAUAAUCUAUUGUAUAUAUGUAAUUAACAUUGAUAAUUUUGUCUUUCUAGGUGGAUGUCAUAAUAGAAGCUAUUGCUGAAGAGCAUAAUAUCACAGUUGAUAAUCCAUCAACUGCUUCUAAAGAAAAAGAAAAAAUGGAGCUUGUCAGUUAGGGAGAACGGAAGAAUUACCCAUUUAAAGGGUUCAACAUCUCGGACGAGGCUCUUAAAAAACUAACAAAAUUGAUCAACGACUAUUCAAAAUGGAUUGCCGAUGGGCUGUUAAAGUAUCACGCUGACAAGUACAUAAAUAAAUUUUAAAGAUAUUGAUUUAUACAAUUCUUGUUGUAUAAACAUGGCAUUAACAUAUAUAAAUCAUCAUAUAGAAAACAAAAUGACGAACACUACAAAGUGAAUGAAUCGAGUCUUGGUUUUGAUAUGUUUAAUUUUGUUGUUGCACAUCCUGAAAUGAAGAAUUGGUUCUAUUUGAUAUCACAGCCCCAAACUUGCUGGAAUGAUGAGGUACCUUAAAUGCCAUACAUAUUACUAUUAAUUAAUACUUUAUUCAAUUGCAUCUGUGUAUUAAUUUUUUUAUCACGUAAUCUAAAAUGUUUGAUAAUAUGUGCAACACAUCGAUGUCAUUUUUUACUACCUCCAAAAGAAGGCCAAGUUGCAAGCACAAAAAUAAUACAUAUACACGACAGAUAAUUAUUUGUACAAAGUUUACAUCAAUAAUACCUACGAUAGGUAUUGUCAACAACAACCAGAAGUUUCCCAAAGUGAGGAGUGCUUAAUCAACAUCAUCAAAGGUUUUAGUAUUCCAGCUGACUUGCCUUGGAAUUUGGUCAAUGAAGUGUACAUCCCAAUCAAUUAUGGUGAUGAAUUCCAUUGUGUGUUGGUUUUUGUCGUUCUAAAAGAGAGGCGCACCUGAGUUUAUGACUCGAUGUCGCGAAGGAGACGUUCCAGGCCGUCGUCUGAGAUACUAAAGCUGACCAAAAUAUUGCCUACUUUCCUUGAUAUGAGUGACUUUUUGGACCAAAAGGUUCGUACUAAUUGGUCGAUGAUUGAAGCAUACCGAGAUAAAAUGGGUAAUCCAUUUGAUGUACAAUAUGUUGAAGGAAUUACUCAACAAACCAUUGGUAGCCUGUAAGUAUAAAUGUCAUGAUUUAUUUUUAUUUCAUAAAUUUUACAAUGCUUACAUGAACUGCAAGAUAUGGAUUAUCUGUUUUUUUAAAACGCAGGGAUUGUAGUCUUUUUGUUGCUGCUUAUGUCGAGUGUUUGAGCGAUGGAUUACAAGUACCAAAUGAUGGACUUGAUGUCGAAUUACUCCGCAAAAUAUAUGCUACUCUUUUAUGUAAAUACGGAGAAGUGAAAGCUCAAAAAUCGUACACAAGAGACAUUAAAGAUCCACGGCGACCAAAGCCAAAUUUCGUAGCACCGGAUGAAGAACAGCUUGUCCAUAUGAGUAGAUCUUUAUAGCUUGAGUCUGUCAAUGUAAUAACCUAUCCUCCUUGGUUAACUUGUUGAUUUAUUUGUAGAGUAGAUCAUUUGUACCCAUAAUAUUUUUUUUUACAUUUUACUUAUUUGUUGAGUUAUUUCAUGUAAUUUUUGAAGGCUUUGAUUUAUUUUAUGUUGUCUAUGAAUAUAAUUUAAUCCUUAGUUUUGAACUUGUUAAUUGAAAUGGAAUACUAGAUUCAAAUAUCGCAACAGAUAUUAUAUCUGCUGCAACAGACGGCAUAUCUUAUCAAACAGAUUUAGACAUAUAUUGCAACAUAUAGGUCAUCUGCUGGAAAUUAUGUAACAGAUCUUUCUACAUUUUUUAUUUGCUACAAUGGAUUAUCCAUUAGUUGCAACAGAUAGAUUAUAUGUUGCAUCAGAUUAUAUAUCUGUUGCGAUAGACAGACAAAAAUAUUUGCAUAAUGCAACAGAUGACAAACCUAUUGGAAUAGAUAAUCAAUCUAUCACAAUAUGUAUGAUAGCUGUUACAAUAGAUAGACAAUCUGUUGCAUUAUAAAAAUUCAACUUUCGUCAGACAUAAACAUUUUUCACUCAUGUAUGUAAAGUGAAGUGAAGUGGCUUGAAAUAAAAAAUUGUUAUCGUUUUCAUCUCUGUCUUUGUACAUAUUCUUCUUUAUACACGGGCUCCAACCAUUUGGUUAGUACCCCAUAAUCCCAUACCUCAUGCAUAUUUUCCACAACGGCAUCACACAUACCAGCCAUUUCUAUGCCGGUAACAAACACUCGAUAUAUGCAAUUGAGUACGACCCAUACGCAGCACCGGUUUUAUUUUUUAAAGGUGGAUGUUUUUAUUUUGACCUUCAAAAUCCCAUGAUUCCUUUAUCAAGACUUCAAAAGGCAAAUGAUCCAUCAAUUUACUUUGCACCAAUAAUUUGGGGAACAACAUCAAGAGUGGCUGUACGUGGGUUAAAAAUAUAGCCUCCUUGAAGACAGGUAAGUUGUAGCCAUAAACCUUAAUCUUUCCCUCGUCGAGUAGUAUCUCAACAAUGAGAAAAUGUUUGACUUUCAUCUUCAUGACUGCAAGGAUUCUCUUUGCCUUGGUCAAGCUUUUGCUGUGUGGAUAUGGCCUCUUCCCUCUAACAUAGUUAAUUAUGUCUUCAUCCCAUUUGAAUGUAGAAACUAACUUAUCAAUUCCCCAGCCACAGGGACCAGCUCGUCUGUGGAUAUUAUCAAACCUACUCUUAAAAUUAUUGAAGUUGAGGUCCAUCAUUCUAUCGGCAACAUCAUAAGCAUCCGGGUACGCUAAUUGCCUGCCCCUCAUGAGGAAGAGAAUUUCAUCAACAUACUAUGGUAUAAGAAGAUAAUUUUUAAAUAGGUUAGUAAUUAUAAAGAAGAAAAACAUAUUAGAAAGAUUCUGUUGUAGAGGGUUCUCUAAAUCAGUUCACAGAUUACCUAGCUAACGCAACUUAUGCAACAGAUUUGUAUUAUGUUGCAACAAAAUACCCAGCUAUUACAACAAAUUACAUAUCUAUUGUGUACCUUCUUGUUCAUGGAGUAGAUAGGAAGUCUAGGUUAGCAAAAGUAAACUUACAUUGUCCACGUACCACUGACUCAUAUUUGUCAUACUCGUGAAGUUUUAGGCGGCAAACAAAUGUAUGGUGUAUUCUUGUGGAACCUUCGUCUUAUCAGUCAUGAUUUUUUGCAGUUCCUUCUUCCCUUCGUCGCCAAGUAUCGCGUAUAUGUCCACCUUCUUCAGUGGCCUAUGAACUUUAACAACUCUUUGAGCGGGAGGAGUUGUAAUUUUUUUUAUUUUCAGAAUGGAGAGUAUUUGUCUAAUAUUUCUUCUCUUCCUCCUAACCACCACUGUAGGAGUUUAUGGCUCCCUCACCUUCUUGGAUGGUAUGACACCCCUCUUGGAUUUCAAAUCCUCGGCAGCUUCAGCAAUAGCCUCUAGUUUUUUAAGGAGUUUAUCUUCUCUAUCCUUUCAUACUUUGCAUUUGCAAUAAGAACAUGAGGGUGAAGAGGGGUGAGAGGGACUACUGUAAGGGUGGGAAGGUUGGUGUAAGGGUGAGAGGGACUUGUUCAAGGGGUGUUUCCAAACGUAUUUAUUUUUUCCUGAGCACCAACAUACUUAUAAUCACGACUGGCAGCAAUAACAGUAUCAGAAUGGCUUCCACUGUUAUCAACAACUCCACCAGCAACACCCUAAAAGAAGCACGCGGAUCUGUUGCAGUAAGUUGGCCAUGAAGAGCUUCAACAUUAGGCUGACCUUGCCUAACUGCUCUUUUUAUGGCUGUUGCUCCAGCCAAUUCCUUCUUUAUUAACUCCACCAUUGGGUAUGUUGUUGUAUCAAUAAGACCUAGAGUAAUAAAAGAAGUCAUCCCCAACUCCUGCUCAGUAGGCACGAUCCAAGGAUGCACAACCUAUAAAAAGACAGAAGGUAUUUAAAUCAUUUCAUAUAAUAAUAAAUUGCAGUUAGUUAGGUUACAUGUUAACACAACCUACUUAUGCAAUAGAUGAUCUAUCUGCCGAAACAGCUGAUCUGUAUGUCACAACAGAUUAAAAAUUUAUUGCAUUAGAUUACCCAUCUAUUACAUAAUUUGCAGUAUAUGGGUAAUCUGUUGAGUCAGGUUCAGGGAACCAGAGAAACAGAUAGUUAAUUUGUUGCAAAAUAUGUAUCGUCUAUCACAAUAGAUUAUCCAUCUGUUGCACCAGUUACAGUUGAUGGGUAAUCUAUUGUAAACGACGACCCAUCUAUCGCAAUAGAUGGCACAUCUAUUUUAAUAUCUUUCUUUGAGGAAAAUUAUUUUAGUUGAAAGAAGAUGUACUGUAGCAUCCAGAGGGUUAAAGAGAUCAGCCUCCUUAAUUUUUUUCUGCCCUUUGUAGCCAACCACCUAAGGAUCCUUGGAUGAGAAACCUUAUCCGAAUAAUCCUUGAACUUCUUUCGGAGGGAAGGAAUGACUUCAAAUGCCCAAGCCUAAAAAUGUAAACAGGAAUCAUGCAAAAAAAAUCAUAAUAACUAUAUUCAAUACAAAUUAAUGGAUGAGUAAAAAUAGUGAUUAAUUUUACCAUAAAAGCCCAAGUAAAGUCGUAUAAUGUGAUCAUCCCUUGGGAUAGCUUUGUCAGUAAAUAUUGGACAGUCAAGUAGUAACUGUCAUAUCCCCAGGGAUGAUCAUUGAAUUUCUCAAAAUCAUCAGCAAGCGUCAACAAAUCAUCUUUUAUGACUUUCCUGACGUCUCUUGCCAAUAUAAUAGAAUGGAUAAACCAAACUAAGCACAAUUUCUCCUUAUACUGCUUUGGUAUGGUUUUAUCCUCGAGAUUUGCUAUCAAAUCCCCCGCUUUGUAGCUAUGUCCAAUAAUACCCAACAAUGCAUUCUUUCCCUGCGUUUGUUGGACCUUUUGUUGGAUGUUUCCUUGGUGAGAGGUUCUUCUAGACGAUCACAUCUCAAGCUCGUCACUAUGGCAAACUCUUUCAAUCCAAAACAAACUAGCAUGCCACAGUAGUUGAUCCAGAGUUCAUCCAUCUUUUUUUCUCCCUCCUUCGAAUCUUUAUAAUCCCCCGCAUACUUUAUCUUACAUUUUGAGAAGACUAAAUACCAUGCUUAUUUGAAAAUAGAGAGUGUGGUCCUCAAGCAGCUUAAGAAAGCAUGCAAAGCAACUCCUCUUAAAAAGUCCGUCUAUGUUUUCAGUCUUCAUAAUACUCCUAAAUUCAUCAAAACCUUUCCUCAACUGAUAUUUAAGAGCGAGACUUCUUUAGGGUGAUCUAUCGAUAUAGCAACUCAAAACUUGUCGAUACUAAUGGUUUUGAUAGGAUCAUGCUGGGAUUUCGAUAUUAAUACACGGACCAUUGGUGAGAAAGAGUUCUCACUUUCCUCAACUUUAUUUUGCCCUGAUUGAUAUUGUUCAGGAAGUUCCUUCGAAUUUAUCUAUACUCUAGCCUUUUUGUUGGGUGGUGAGAAGUUGAUCCACUUUCAGUUUUAGUUUUUUUUCUUUUGGGAGACAUUUUUUAACUACAAACAAUAGAAAAAAAUAAAAAAUACAAAACAUUUGAUGUCUACAUAAUUUUUUUUUUAAAAAGGUAAUACAAAUUUUAAUAAAUUACUAUACGCCACAUUACAAAAAACACUCCAACGAAUAACCCAACAAUUGGAACAGAUAGGGAAUCUGUUUGAAGACCUAUUUAAUAUCUCCCAACAGACCCUUCACCUAUUGCAACAGAUGGACCACCAAGACCACCACCAGUACCACAACCAAUGCCACCACCAAUGCCACUAAGACCAGGACCAAUGCAACCAAGACAACCACUAAUGCCACCAAUACCAACAACAAUACCAAGACCGCCAACACUACCACCAAUGCCACCAUUACCAACACCUAGACAACCGACACUACCACCAAAACCAUAAAUACCGACACCACCAACAACAACCAACAAUAAUACCACAAAUACUAUCCAACAAUACCACGAUAGUCAACAAAACACUGCAAUAAAACUAGGGUUUUCUCGGGUGCUUUUUAUGUUUUUAGCAUCAAAACUCAAAAUUGUUAACUCAUUCUCGAAGAUAAUACAACUAAAAGUCUUCUUUUUCAUCAUUAACUAAAACCCCUAAUUUUAGAAUGAAGAACAAAUGUGGAACUCUUCUCAAACUCUGUUACCUGUAAAGACAGAGAAAAUAAUGGAUAAAAGUGAGAAUGAAGUCGAAAAUAACAACUAUGUGGUCAGAAAUGGAAAGAAAAUCGAUCUGUUUUAAAGGGUUGAGCAAUAUGUUGAGUAGUUAUUGUCUGUAUUAGUGAGAGAGAAGAGCAAGAACAUGAGAUUUGAAAUGAGGAAAAGUUUUUCGUUCAAAUGGAUGAUUUGUAUGGGUUGAUUUGUAAUUUUGGAAAAGAAUGACAAGUUUUGAAACUGUUAAUUUGGUCUGAAUUGAUCUUAAUUAAUUUUUAAUAUUUUGAAAGAUAUAGUUUUUAAAAUAUUAAGUUAAUGAGAAUCUUUUCAACUCAGAUUGAUCGAUCGAUGAGUCGGGUUGGGAUGAACACAAUACCAACACCAUGCAAUUGCAAGACUCAAUUGAAGUUAUAGUUGACCCUAUGAACUCAUUCAUCCCUAUUUCUACCUAAAUCAAUUUAGGUACUAGCUUAACAUUAAGCUAAUGAGAAUAUUUUCAACUCAAAGUGGUCGAUCGAUGACUCGGGUCGAGAUGAACGCAAUACCAACACCAUGCAAUUGCAAGACUCAAUUGAAGUUAUAGUUGACCCUAUGAACUCAUUCAUCCCUAUUUCUACCUAAAUCAAUUUAGGUACUAGCUUAACAUUAAGCUAAUGAGAAUCUUUUCAACUCAGAGUGAUCGAUCGAUGGCUCGGGUCAGGAUGAACAUAAUACCAACACCAUGUAAUUGGAAAGACUGAAUUUAAGUUGUAGUUGACCCUAUGGACUCGUUGAUCCUAGUUCUACCAAAAUCAAUUUAGGUACUAGCUUAACAUUAAGAUAAUAAGAAUCUUUUCAAAUCAAAGUGGUCAAUCGAUGACUCGGGUCGGGAUAAACGCAAUACCAACACCAUGCAAUUGCAUAGACUCAAUUAAAGUUAUAGUUAACCCUAUGGACUCAUUCAUCACUAGUUAUACCUAAAUCAAUGUAGGCACUGGCUUAAUAUUCAGAUAAUGAGAAUCUUUUCAAUUCAGACUGAUCGAUCGAUGACUCAGGUCGGGAUGAGCACAAUACCUACACCAUGCAAUUACAAAGACUCAAUUGAACUUUUAGUUGACCCUAUGGACUCAUUUAUCCCUAGUUCUACCAAAAUAAAUUUAGGUACUUGCUUAACAUUAAGCUAAUAAGAAUAUUUUCAACUCAGAGUGAUCGAUUGACGACUCGGAUCGAGAUAAACACAAUACCAACAUCAUGUAAUUACAAAGACUCAAUUAAAGUUGUAGUUGACCCUAUGGACUCAUUGAUCCCUAGUUCUAGCAAAAUCAAUUUAGGUACAGCUUAACAUUAAUCUAAUGAGAAUAUUUUUAACUCAGAGUGAUAGAUCGAGGACUCGGGUCGGGAUGAACACAAUACCAAUACCAUGCAAUUGCAUAGACUCAAUUAAAGUUGUAGUUGACCCUAUGGACUCAUUCAUCCAUAUUUCUACCAAAAUCAAUUUAGGUACUAGUUUAACAUUAAUCUAAUGAGAAUCUUUUCAAUUCAGAGUGAUCAAUCGAUGACUCGGGUUGGGAUGAAUAUAAUACGAACACCAGACAAUUGCAAAGACUCAAUUGAAGUUGUAGUUGACCCUAUGGAUUCAUUUAUCCCUAGUUUUACCAAAAUUAAUUUUGGUACUAGCUUAACAUUAAGCGAAUGAGAAUCUUUUCAACUCUGAGUGAUCGAUCGAUGACUCAGGGUCGGGAUGAACGCAAUACCAACACCAUGUAAUUGCAAAGACUCAAUUAAAGUUGUACUUGACCCUAUGGACUCAUUGAUACCUAGUUCUACCAAAAUUAAUUUAGGUACUAUCUUAACAUUAAGCUAAUGAGAAUCUUUUCAACUCAGAGUGAUCGAUCGAUGACUCGGGUCAGGAUGAAUGCAAUACCAACACCAUUCAAUCGCAAAGACUCAAUUGAGGUUAUAGUUGACCCUACAGACUCAUUAAUCCCUAGUUCUACCAAAAGUAAUUUAGGUACUUUCUUAAUAUUAAGCUAAUAAGAAUUUUUUCAACUCAGAGUGAUCGAUCAAUGACUCGGGUUGGGAUAAAUGCAAUGCCAAUACAAUGCAAUUGGAAAUACUCAAUUGAAGCUGUAGUUGACCCUAUGGACUCAUCCAUCCCAAGUUCUACCAAAAUCAAUUUAGGUACUAGCUUAAUAUUAAGCUAAUGAGAAUCUUUUCAAUUUAUAGUGGUCAAUCGAUGACUCGAAUUGGGAUGAACGUAAUACCAUUACCAUACAAUUGCAAAUACUCAAUUGAAGUUGUAGUUAACCCUAUGAACUCAUUCAUCCCUAGUUCUACCUAAAUCAAUUUAGGUACUAGCUUAACAUUAAGCUAAUGAGAAUCUUUUCAACUCAAAGUGACCUAUCGAUGACUCGGGUCAGGAUGAACGUAAUACCAAUACCAUGCAAUUAAAAAGACUCAAUUGAAGUUGUAAUUGACCUAUGGACUCAUUUCUCCCUAGUUCUACAAAAAUUAAUUUAGGUACUAGCUUAACAUUAAGUUAAUGAGAAUUUUUUCAACUCAGAGUGAUCGAUCGAUGACUUGGGUCGGGAUGUACGCAAUACCAAUACUAUACAAUUGCAAAGACUCAAUUGAAGUUUUAGUUAACCCUAUGGACUCAUUCAUACCUAGUUAUUCCUAAAUUAAUUUUGGUGCUAGCUUAACAUUAAGCUAAUGAGAAUUUUUUCAACUCAGAGUGAUCGAUCAAUGACUCAGGUUGGGAUGAACACAAUACCAACACCAUGCAAUUGCAAAGACUCAAUUAAAGUUAUAUCGUCCCUAUAUUUCUAGUUAAAUUAAUUGCAAUGAAAUCUGUCGCAACAAACGACUGAGUUGUUGAAAUUUUUCUAACAGAUAUUCACAUCUGUUGCAACAGAUGACAUAAAUGAUUUAAUUAUCAGAUAGACUUUUGCAUCUAUUGUGACAGAUGACUGAGCUAUUGCAAAUUUUUAAAUAGAUAUUGUUAUCUGUUGCAACAGAUGUCAUAUCUUAUUUAAUUAUCAAAUGGACAUUUGCAUCUGUUGUUAAAUAUGACUGAACAGUUGGAAAUUUUCAAACAGAUCUUGAUAUCAGUUGUAAAAGAUAACAUAUCUGAUUUAAUAUUAAAUAAACAUUUGCAUCUAUUGUUAUAGAUGACUAAGCUAUUGGAAUUUUCCAAACAGAUAUUUAUAUCUGUUGCAACAGAUAAAAUAUCUGUUUAAAAUUUCUUUUUUCUUUUAAUUUUAAAGCAAGCUUCUGUCUAAAAAAAAAGAUAAAUAAAAUAGUACUACUAAAGCCGGUAAAAAAUAUUUCUUGGAUAACUCAAAAAUCUCAUUGACUAGUCUUGUCUUGUCUUUUCAAUGUCACCCAUCUUCCUCGUGCUCCUCGAGUUAUUAAUGAAUAUUAAUUAAUGAAUAUUUAAACCCACGUCUAGAAUUAUCUCAUCUCUCCUUCAGCCUUAAAUUUAUUUUAUUCAUCUUUCAUCUUUUUCUUUCUCUCCUCUUUAGGGUUAUCACAACUUUUUUUUUCUCUCUUUUCUCUCUUUUUUCUCAUAAAGAUCCUUUUGGAACUAAAUUGAUCCAUAUCUUUCCUUGAUUGAAAUUGUUGUUUUGAUCUCCUUUUGACAUUGCAGGUAAGGUAUGGUUCACUAUUUCUCUUUCGUUCUCAUCUUCUUCUUUGAAAGUUAUUUACAUCUAUUUUUUAUUUAAUUGCCAUUUACCCAUAUCAUAUUUAUUUUAAAAAUUUAAUUUUUUUUAAUUGUUGAAUAAAUGAACCAAGAAUUUUUAAUACAAUAUGCAAAAAAAGUCAUCUGUUGGGAGAAGUUUAAAAGCCUUGUUGGCAGUAUCUUUAUUUUUGUAUGUACUUUAUUUGUUUUAUUUGUUAUUGAUGCUAUUAUUGAUGUUUUUGGUGGGGUUGAUGUUGUUGGAACUUGUUGUGCGAUGUUGUUGAUAGUGUUGGAAUAAAGGAUGUUGCUUCUUUGUUGUUGAUGAUAUUGUUGAUGGUGUUGGAAUAAAUGAUGUUGUUUUUUUGUUGUUCAUAUUUUUUAUUUGUUGUUUCUUUGUAGUUUAUGUUGUUGUUGAUGUUGCAAUAGAUGGAGCAACUGCUAAAACAAAUCAAACCACUAGCAAGGCUGGUUUGAUGUAUUCCAACAGGCUCCACUGUAAUACCCCGAACUUUUCUUAAGCCUAAAUUAUAUCUCUAUAAGAUUAAGGAAUGACUUCCAAAGUGAGUAGUGUUUAAAUCAUUUAUAGUUUUCCUAAUUUUGACAUUUUAUCAUGUGGGAAACAGAAUUAGCUUUUGAAGGAUACCUAUUUUGCCAAAAUCCAAUAUCAAAGUAGAAAGAUAUGGACGUUUUACAGAGAACUACCUGAACUGCCCAGGAGUGACGGGUAGGCCAACGGACCGUCUCUCCGACCGUCGUAACUGAGGUAGUAAACCCUUUCACUGGUCCAAGUGUAACGGUCAGGCUGAUAUAGCAUCACCCAAGCCGUCGUAACUAAGGCAGUAAGUCUCUGUUCUGGCCCAGGUGCGACGGUCAGACCGUCAAGCCAGCGACGGACCGUCAAGCUAGCAACGGACCGUCGAGCCAGUGAUGGACCAUUGCAUAAUCCAUCGUAGAUCCCAUUCAACAUUUUAAAGCCAGUGUUAAAAGGGCUUUUUGGUCUUUUUCCACUCUUUUUAUCACCUAGAUAUAUCAAAAUGAAACAUAGAACUUCAGAUUCAUCCACAGCAUCAAGAGCUAGGGUUUUCUCUCAAGAUUAACUCUCAAGAGCAAGACCUAAUUCCUUCUCCAAGAUUUCACCAUAGUUUUUACAAAUUGAUUUAAGAAUCAAGGUUCUAAAUUCAAAAGCUUCAAGAACCCUCACUCAAGAGUACAAAAAAGAGUCUCAAGCAAGCUUGUUGUAACUCUCCAAGAACCUAUCCCGAGACGUCACACGGUGAUUAAGGCCACACACAGCCUUAAGCUAACCCUCUGAGCCUGUCUUUACUCCUAUAAUUCACCAUGAUAAUAAUCGAGCGGUAAUAAGAAAGAGUAAUCAUGCCAUAAACAUACUGAGAUAUAAAGUAAUACUGUCCUGUACAAUCAAAAUACUAACGUUCUGUACAUAUUGGUACUCUAGUCUAACAAAGCCUCUACUACACAAGAUUGAAGAGCCAUUGGGACAGAUCCCCAACUGGCUCGUACUGAACUGAAAGUAAACAACCAUCUAUUAACAAGACAAAAUCGAAGACACAGGUCCUCGAACCAUGAGGACUCACCAACCGCAGAAAUAUAGAUAAAGGUACUCAAAGAUCACUGUCGCUGUUGAGACUGAGCACCUGAACCUAUAUCAUGAGGAAAUAUAGAAUACAAAAGAGUAUGAGAGUCAGUACUUGGGAAUGUACUGAGUAUGUGGGGGUGCAUGCAACAUUUUAAAUAAUAUCAUAAAUGUAUAAGAAAAUCAUGUCUGCUGACAAUAAUAAUCUCUUCGCUUGAAUUAUCUAAAACAUCAUUUCCGUAAGUCAUCAGUGAUAACAUAUGCUUCAUAAAUCUCAUAAAUCAUUUAACUCAACUCAAACUCCUUGAAUCAUGACUUAGAGUGACUCGGUAUCUCAUGGUACUUAGAUUAUUAUGGACGAGGGAGUUUCGUAUAACCGAUAUGACUAUGCUAUGUGAGCCGUAUGGAGUCCAACGUUUUGCCCACCUAAGGAGAGAACCCCACAUUGGCAGGGGUGUUGUACUCUUGCCAGGGAGUACAACCUCAAUCUCAUCUUCACAAUCUCAUACUCGGCCUUUGGCCCACAAUUAUCAACAUCAAUCCUAUGGUGGCACAUAGUUUUGGGGAAAUAUCAAAUUUCUCGCUCGAUGCUAAAUACUCCUCCCAGCUCAGCUCAGAACACAUUAGGAAAUCCACCUCAAUCAAUAUCAACUCAUGGUUCUAUUAUAAAUACCAAAACAUAAAUAUAUAUCUCAUCUGAAAAUCAUAAACAUUUUGUGGAUUCCUAACAUGACUCAACUCAACACAAGCUUUCUCAAUAUCAAGUAUAUUUGUUUAUCAAAUCAUUUCAAAUAUCAAAAGAUUCAUGGAAACAUCAUAAGACUCAUUCUUGUCUCUCAAUUUCACAUAUCAAUAUACAUUCAAUAGUCAAAUUUCUCAUAGAAAGGCAUAACUCAUGACACUUGUCUCAAAUUAUUCAAAAAUCAUCAAUUCAUAAUAAAAAUAUUUAACUGAUGGAACUUGACUUAAAUUGCUUAGAAACCAUCAAUACAUAAUGAUAAUGUACGGCUCAUGGAAUAAAUUCUCAAUUUAAGAAACAUGAUGGUGAAAUAAUCAUAAAUAUCAAAGUUAUUCAACUCAAAUCUCAUAAAUCAUUAAUUGAUAAAUUUGGGUGUAAACCCACUUGCAAUAUCAUGUAAAUCAAUAAUAGAAAGUAAAUCUUUAGGCACAAGAAUGAAAGGAGUGUUCUUGUUCAAACCCCACAUACCUUGGAUUUUGAUUUUUUUGGAUAUGUAGAAACUUGUUUGGAACUUCUUCCUUAUACUUUGAGACCAAGAUUCUUGAUGCCUUUGACUUGGGGAACUUAAUUCUUGAAUCACUUUGAAUCACUAUGGAGAAUUCUUGAAUUUAUUUGGAAGAAGAUUGGAUUUUUGGGUUUUAGAGGAAACCCUAAUCUCUAGAUGUUUCCUAGAAGAGAAAAGGAGAAAAGAAAGAAAAUGAUAUCCUCUUGUCUACUUAGAUAUAUAUAUAGGGCCAUAAGGAGCGGAAAUGACCAAAAUACCCUUUUGAAAAAUUUGAAAAUUGCAGAUCGGGGCCUAUGACAGUUGAUCUGACGGUCCGUCAGAUGAGUUGACGGUCCACCAGGUCGUCCGUCACUCAAGUGCCAAAUCUGGAACGUUCUGCCUCAGAGUGAAGGUCAGAGUGACGGUCCAUCAAAGGGUGUAAUGAUCCACCAAGUCGUCCGUCACUUGAGGGCCAGGAAUGGGACAUUCUGUCUCGGCCUGACGGACCCAUUUAACUGUCCGUAAACUUGUUGACGGUCCACCAACUAGGCCGUCACACGAUGGCCCAAAAAGAAGGUUACUUCCUUGGCUUGACGGAAGACUUGAAGGGCCACCAAGCCCCUGAUGGUCCGCCAAGUCUACUGUCAAACCUGGGCGUUCUAAUACCGUUUAGUAAAACAACCAUAACUCCUUCGUCCGAUAACAAAUUUUGAUGAAAUUGGUAUCGCUGGAAAGAUUAUUCAAUGGCAUACAUGAAAAAAGUGGAAAUUAGAGAAAUACAACAUGGUUUAAACAUCAAUCACUUUGAAAGUCAUACAUAUCCAUUCAAAAAGACAGAUUUAGGCUUACGGAAUGAUCGGGGUAUUACACUUGUUCAUCUAAAUUCAUAAUCUAAGGUAUGUGGGGUUUGAUCAAGGACAAUCCUCUUGUCCUUGUGACCAAAAAUUGUAUUUAAUUACAAAGAUAUAUGAUUUUACAUGUUUUCUUAUAGAAUUGAAGUAUGGGUUUAUACCCUAAGUUGUUAUCCUUGAGAUUAUGAUGUUUUCAAUGUUUCAGAAAUUGAAGUACAUGAGAAUGUUUAGAUUAUAAUGCAUAUUGCUGAAAAUUUUUAGAUUUCUAUAUGAUUUAUGAAUCUUUAUGAUAUCUAGUAUGCAUUUUGAUACGUCUUAACCUGAGAUUGAUAUAUGGGUCACUAAGCCCUACUUGAUAUUGCAAUUUUAAGAACUUUUGUGCUAUAAGAACCCAUGAUUUGAUUAUUUUGAGAUUAUUGAUAAAGUUUGACCUUGAUGGUCAUAAUAGCUUUGAAAUCUACCUCACUAAAUGAGAUUACAGAUUUUGUAGUUGGUUUUAUUAUAAACCAUGAGAUUAUUUUUGAAAGUGGAUUUCCUAUGAGAUGAGUGUAGCUAAUUAAAGGGAGUAGUAUUUAGCACCGAGUUAGGUAAGUUACUACGGUUUUAUACCCCAGAACUACGUGCCACCUUAGGAUUGAGAUUUAUGGGCUCGAGGCCGAGAUAGUGAUCAUUGAGUUGAGGUUAUACUCCCUAGAAAGAGUAUGACGCCUCUCCCGAAUGUGAGGUUUCUUCCUUAGAGGAUAAAACGUUGGACUCUUUGUAGCUCGCAUAGUGUAUGUCGGUUAAGAGAACCUCCCUAAUAGUAAGAUUUUCAGAGUAGUUUCUUAAAGUAUAUUUUCCCUUGAAGAAAGUAUUUUUCCCUGUUAUUAAAAGUAAUUAAAUAUCUUUUGAGUAUUUUCCCUAAAGUUUUAAAAGAUAUCCUAGUCAGUAAAGAUUUUUAGAUAAUGAGUGUGAAGGCUUACAAGCUUAUUCAAAUAUAGUUUUACUUGAGAUUUUAGUUUCCAAGUUAUGGUCUUAGCUUUCAGAUACAGAGGUGAGCACUUUACUACUUAGUCUAUAUGUUUUGAGAAGAGACUAGAAAUACAGAUUUUCAGAACCAAGUGUAUUGACUCAUGAGAUUUGUACUAUAUGUUCCAUUAUUCAUAAUUUAUGAGAUUUAUAUUUUUGAGUUAUUCAAGCUAUAUGAGUCAGUUAUAUCAGCACGCAUGAUUUCUAUAAAAGAUUGAUGAUAUUGUUGUUUUUAAUUAUUACAUACACCCCCAUAUACUUAGUACAUCCUCAAAGUACUAAUCCACAUAUACGUCUGUGUGCUACAUUGUUUCAUAAUGUAGGUCCAAGUGCUCAAUCUCAGCAGCAACAGUGAUCUCCGAGCAUCUCAUCUACAUCUUUAUCCUUGGUGAGUCCUUAUGGUUCAAGGAUCUAUAUCUGUAGAUUUUUCCAUUUUCAUAGUGUUUUGAGUAUUAUUUUUAGAUCAAUUCGAGUUAGUUGGGGGUCGGUCCCAAUGACUCUCUAGUUUAACUAGUAGAGGCUUUAUCAGGAUAGAUGAUCAGUGGUGCUUUAGACUUUUCAAUAUCGUGCUAUUCAGACAAUAUUCCUUUGUUAUUUCAGUUGAAAUAUGAUAUGACAGUACCUUUGUUUUUCUCUGUUUGUCGUUAGAGUAAGUUCUAAACUUAGUAGCAGGCUCAAUGGGUUAGCUUGGGGCUACUUGUAGCCUUAAGCACCGGGUGAUGUCUCGGGAUGAGAUUUCAGGUCGUUACAUCAGCAUCUGUUGUAACAGACUCUACAUCUAUUGUAAUAGACUCCACAUCUAUUGCAACAACCUCCACAUCCAUUGCAACAGACUCCAUAUACAUUGCCACAGACUACACAACUAUUGCAACAGAUGGAUAAUGUUUUUUCUGUUCUUCUCUUAUUUGACAUCAAUUUUUUCCUCUUUUUUGUAGAUAUAAGGAAUUGAAAGUUGAUCAACUUUUUCCCGACCAACACAAGAGGCUACAGUAAAUAUGGGUUUGAAGAAAUAAGCUGCUUGUAGAUGGAACCACUUCAUAUAUGAGAGGUAUGUAUUACUAAUAAUGUUAUCGUGAAAACACUCAUAGAGAACACUGAUUUUGUGAAUGUUGUUUUUACCAUUUAGCCAUUGAUCAUUCAAACAAUAUAUCUAUAAUUUUAUAGUUAAGUUUGAUAGAUCUAAACUGAUAAGGCUGAGGGACCAUGAAUAUAGUUCUGAUACCCUGUUAAGAUUUAAUGUCGGUUGUUGCUCAUGUUUAUGUGUCAAACAUAGUGAAGAGAUUAAGUUUUAGUGUCAUUUUAAAGAGAUUCAAUAGCGAUUGGACUAACUUUUAGGGUGCAUUAGACUCUAAGAGGGCCUUCGAAGCCUUCCACUGCUUCAACCAAGAAUAGAAACUAAUAUAGUUAUUGCCCUAGCUCAAAUUUAUAUGGUUGGGUUGAUCAGGAUGAUGACUAUAUGCCAGAAGGUGCGGUAAGAGCAUGCCUACUAGGGUAAAUGGGGGUUGAUGAAAGAUUAUAUCAACUGAGAGCUAAUUAAAGAGGACACAUAGGGUAGAAAGGAACUUCUAGCGAAUUUGGCCGAUGAAACUGGCUUAGAACUUGAGAAAUCUGAAUCAAGUACAAAUAUGAAAGUGUAUUCAGUAAUGAAAAAUUCGUCUAUUGUUUCUCUAGAAAAAAAAUAAUGCAGAUGGUUUCUUUGAUAGGGAGUUGCAUCUAGGUAGCGUGGUCAGGAUUAUCACCUAGAUAGAAAAUAGCAAAAGACCAAGAAAGCAGCCUUAUGAACAUCAAGGCUUGAAAUAAUGUAUAGUAAGUCUAGAAAACUUACGCCAAUAAUAGCUACAGUUAAAAUAAGGAAUAUAAGAGAAGACUGCAAUUUUUAAAUUUUAAAUUGCAUCCCAUGCCUUCUUGUUUAUGGUUUUGAUUAGGUCCACUGUUGUUGACCUGAUCGAAACCACAAACAAGAUUGAAAGGCAGAUUGAGUAUCAUUACUUCCUUAGCAAUAUAGAUAUAAUUGAUUGUGUUUUCUAGCCUUAGCAUGCUUUUAACAUAUCUUAGAAAAUAUCAGAGGCUUGUUGUAGUAUGUGAAUCCCAAUAAUUUCAAGCUUGCCUUCAGUUUGCCGAUUUGGUCUUCAAGUUUGUCGUUGCCGUCUUUGAAGUUGGUAUAGAGUUCCCGAUCUUUUGUGAGAUCGAUUAGGAACACUUUUUUCGAAGUUCUGGCAUUGUAGAAGGCCUUCUGAACACUUUCUUCAGAGGCCUUAAAUGAUACAAGGAGGGUCUCUAUGUUUGUUUUAGGUCAAAAUAUGUUGAUGCGCAGUCAAGCAGUGGUCCCAACAAUUGAAUAGCUCACUUUUAUCGAGCGUUCUCAAUACAGCUUGCUCAAACAAUCUUAAAGGGAUUUGAUAAAUUAAUUAGCAAGGAGUUACAUAACGUUUGAUCUAAAAUGACUCUACCAAGCCUAUCAAACAUUACGUAACUCCAGUCUCAUUACCCUAUCAAAAACCUUUGCUUGAGUUAGUGCACAAAUCAAACGAGCUCAAUCUCUUAGACUUUCUACUGGUCUCUCUUCUCCCAUAUAGAGGAUAGGAUAUCCGCCGUGCAAAAGUCUACAUUAUCGGUAGAAAUUCUUGCCACAAUGUAAGUCUUUAGAAGACACGACUAGUAAUCUCUCAAUAUCACUUUUAUGACUUUCUUGACGUCUUUUGCCAAUAUAUUGGAAUAAACAUAGCGAGCAAUUGUGCUUAGUUUGGUUUGUCCAUUCCAAUAUAUUAGCAAGAGACGUCAAGAAAGUCAUAAAAGUGAUAUUGAGAGAUUACUAGUCAUGUCUUCUAAAGACUUUUGUUGUGGCAAGAAUUUUUGUCGAUGGUGUAGACUUUUGCUUUGGCGGAUAUCUUGUCCUCUAUAUGGGAGAAUAAUGAUUAGAAGAAAGGCUGAGAGAUUGAGCUCGUUUGAUUUGUGCAGAUUGAGCUCGUUUGAUUUGUGCACUAACUCGGGCAAAGGUUUUUGAUAGAGUAAUGAGCCUAGAGUUACAUAACGUUUGAUAGGCUUGGUAGAGUCAAUUUAGAUCAAAUGUUACGUAACUCCUUGAUAAUUAAUUUAUCAAAUCCCUUAAAUGUUGUUUUAGCAAGAUGCAUUGAGCAACGCUCGAUAAAAGUGAGUUAUUCAACUAUUGGGAUCACUGCUUGAUUGUGCAUCAACAUAUUUUGACCUAAAAUAAACAUAGCGACCCUCCAUGUAUCAUUUAAGUCUUCUAAAUAAAGUGUUAUGAAGUCCUUCUACAAUGCCAGAACUUUGAAGAAAGUGUUUCCGAUCGAUCUCAUAAAAGACCAAGAACUCUAUACCAACUUCAAAGACGGCAACGACAAACUUGAAGACCAAAUUUGUAAGCUGAAGGUAAGCUUGAAAAUUAUCAAGAUACACAUACUACAGCAAGCCUCUGAUCUUCUCCAAGAUAUGUUGAAAGCAUUCUAAGGCAAGAAAACAUAAUCAAUUAAUCCAUAUUGCUAAGGAAGUAAUGAUACUCAAUCUGCUUUUCAAUCUUGUUUAUAGUUCUAAUCAAGUCAAUAGCAGUGGACCUAAUCGGAACCACGAACAAGAAGGCAUGAGAUACAAUUUAAAAUUAAGAAAUUGCAGCCUUCUCUUAGAUUCCUUAUUUUAACUGCAGUUGUUAUUGGCGCAAGUUUUCUAGACUUACUGUACAUCAUUUCAGCCCUCGAUGCCCAUAAGGCUGCUUUCUUAGUCUUCUGCUAUUUUCUAUCUAGGUGAUAAUCCCGACCAUGCUACCUAGUCAUAGCUCCCUAGCAAAGUGUCCAUCUGCACUAGUUUUUUCAGAGAAACAACAGACGAAUUUACAUUAUCGGAUACACUUUCAUAUUUGCACUUGAUUCAAAUUUCUCAUGUUUUAAGUUAAUUUUAUCGGUCAGAUUCACUAGAAGUUCCUUGAUACCCUAUGUCUCCUCUUCAAUUAUCCCUCAGAUGAUAUAGUCUUUCAUAAACUCCCAUUUCCCUCAGAGGAACUCCUUUUGGCAUAUAAUCAUCUUCUCGAACAACCCUUCCAUAUAAAUUUAGGCGAGAGUAAUUUCUAUUGGUUUUUCAUUCUUGUUUGAUGCAGUGCGAGGCUUCGAAGUCCUUGUCAGAGUCCAAUGCACAUUUAAAGUUAAGUCUAAUUGCUAUUGGAUCUCUACAAUGACACCAAAUAUUGAUCCCUUCUCAAAACUUAACACGCAUUAACAUUAGCAACAGCCGCUAGUAAUUCAUAAUAGGGUAUCUGCACCAUCUUCAUGGGGCCCUCAUCGUUAUCAAAUCGAACCUAUCAUACUUAAAUAUACAAUGCAUGAUCUUGUUUGAAUGAUCAGUGCCUAAUCGGUUAAAAACAACAUUCACAAAAACAUUGUACUUUAUGUGUAUUAUCCUAAUGACCUUAUCAGUAAUACUUAACUCCCACACAUAAUAGUGAAUCCAUUCAUCGGGACAUAUCCUAUUAUUCCUAGCCCAUCUAUGGCUUAAAUUGAAUAAACAAAUGACUAACAAAUUGCAACAGAUGCCACAUCUGUUUAAAUUGUCAAAAAAUUAGAAACAUCUGUUACGAUAAAUGAUCAAUCUUUUACAACAUAUGACAUAUCUGUUGGAAAAAUCAAACAGAUAUAUCCAUAUGUUGCAAUAGAUUGUCAAUAUAUUAUAAGUUAUCUAAUAGGUGGAAUGUAUUUUGCAACAGAUUACCCACCUGUUAGAUUUAUUUUAAAGCAAUUUUCAUUUCUUUUUGAAAUACAAUAAAAAGAUAAAAUGUUGUAUUUAGAUUCAUUUUUUAAAUUUACAUAUUCAAAAAGUCGCCAGUUUUAUUUAAUUAAGGGAUGAACAGUCGUGACUUUUUGACUUACCCUUUCGAAUUCAAUCAUUUAUAAAUAAGUCCAUCCUUACUCGUCCAUUCUACUACACUUACAAAUAGGGCUGAUCCAAAUUCAUACAAGAAGAUUUAUUUUGAGUCCUUAUGGGAACUUUAAAGGCAGUUUGAUGAAGUCCAGAAGGAUUUUGCCGACUUCAGAACAAGGCUGAGGAGGGCCCUGUUGCUGUCGGAUGAAAAUUGCUCGGUUGACAAUAAUAGUAAUACUACUACUACUACUACUACUACUAAUAAUAAUAAUAGUAAUAAUAAUUAGGUUAUAUUUUUUCUUUUAGUGUAUGUAUUUUUUAUUUUUAUAUCGGAUCUACCUAAGAGAUUCAAAAAUCUAUAUUUGGUGGUCGACUUUAAAUUUUUAAUUUUUAAUUUUUAUUUAUUAUUUAAUUAUUAUUCUGUUUAUUUCUUAUUCUCAAUAUGUCGACGGUUGGUGGUAGGGAUUGAACAUUUGUGACAGCAUAGGUUAAUCUGAUGUGACAGAUGGAUCAUCUAUUGCAACAGACGGUUAUUAAUAAAAAAGGGUUAUUAUUAUUAUUGAGAGGGUGAAAAGUGAUGACUUUUCGAUUAUUUAAUAUGAAAAACGGUUUGUGAAUAAAUAAUAAGAAAAUAAAUGAUAAACACAAUUUAUAACCAUAAAAGAAUAGUUAUUUAAUUUUAAUAACUGAUCGUGACUUUUUACCAUUUUUUGUUUUUUAAAUUUGUUUUUUAAAAUUAUUUAUUUAUUAUAGAAUAAAAAAGUCACAAUAUUGGAUUAAUUAACUUAUAUGAUGAUUGUUAAAAAAAAGGUGAACAAUCAUAACUUUUCGUCUAAAACUCAUUCAACAAUGUUGCUGAUGCAUCAAAUUCUCCAUCUGUUGCGACUGAUGUAUCAACUGUUAGAAGAAAUCAAAAAAUCUAUUAAAAUAGAUGGUCGAUUUGUUGCAACAAAUGGUAUAUCUGUUGCAACAGAUGGUUUAUCUGAUGCAACAGAUAUAUAAUCUGUUGCCAGAACUUGAUAAAAAUGGUUAUUAUUUUAUUAAAAAUGAUUAUUGAAAAGGUAUCUUCGAUUUUUAAAUUGAGAAAAAGGUAAUUUAAUAAUAAUAAGCUUAAAUGUCAUGACUUGUCACAAUAAUAAAAAACUCACCAGCUUGAUUUAAUUAAGUCAUUUCUUUUCAUAGAAAAUAAUAAGGAAAUAAAUGAUAAACAAAUUUAUAACCGUAAAAAAUGGUUAUUUAAUUUGAAUAAUUGACGUUAAUAUUAAAUAGGCGUCAUUUCUUUUCACAAAAAAUAUUUUGUUUUUAAAUCUACUUUUUUAAUUUAUAUAAUAAAAAAGUCAACAAAUUUGAAUUAUGAUAUGAUGAUAAUUUUUUUUAAAAAAAGAUAGAUUAUAUUUUGCAACAGAUAGAUUAUUUGAUGUAAUAGAUUUUCUGUUUUUUGCAACAGAUGAUAUAUCUGUUGUUACAGAUGAGUUAUCUGAUGCAACAGAUAUAAAAUCUACUGUUACAACUCAAUAAAAAUGUUCUUGAAAAGAACCAAUUAAUAAUAAUAAGCUGAAAAGCCAUGACUUAUCAUAAUAUUUCUUAAUUUAAUUAAGUCAUAACUUUUCACAGUAAUAAAAAAUGUAUCUAAUAAAUAGAGGUGAACAGUCGCGCCUUUUUGCCUAACACAUUCAAAUUCAAUCCUCUAUAAAUAGGUCCCUCCUUACUCAACCGUUCAAUCAACUAAACUCUAUUUAUUUAUUGCAUCUUGUGUUUCAUAUUACACCUUCCACCAAUUUCUCUUCUGUAAUACCCCAAAAAAAUUUUCAUUGAAAUUUUGUGCGUAAACAUAUUGGGUUCUAUCUUCUAGAAUACAUUAUAAAUUUUUUGUGUGAAAUGUCUUAGAUUAUGACCCACCGUUGCGUAGAGUAUCGAAUAAGAUUUUCAAUGAUAUGUGGAUCAUCCAAAACGGACACCAGAGCGACGAGUUAUGAACAUUCCGAUCGAAUUAUGAAUAGUAGUGAACAGUAAAACGUGCAGGAAAAAGUACUGAGCCCUGGCAUAUUUCUGCACCAAUAUUAAAUGAUCAUAACUACAUGUACAUAAUGAUCUGAGUGAUUUACUAUAUAUCAAUGGAAAGCUGUGCGAGUCCUCUUUCCAAUGAAAUUGGUUUCAUCCAAUUUGUCUAUUGGAGCAAAAAGUUAUGGUCGAUCUACUUCAGCCUAUCAAAAGUAAAUUUUUAGGUCAACUUCAAAUGAUCAUAACUCCUCGUAAAUAAUGAUCUGGGUGAGACACUAUAUAUCAAUGGAAAUAUAUGGGAAUCCUCUUUCUAAUGAAGUUGGUUUCAUCCAAUUUGAAUAUCGGAGUAAAACAUUAUGGUUGAUCUACUUCAGACUAUCAAAACAGUCCAUCAAAGGACAGAUUCGAGAAUUUUUUUGAUUUUUAGGGGCGUUUUGGUCAUUCUUCCUCACCCAAAAUACAUCCAAACCCUAUAUUAAAGCCUAUUAGAAGCAUUAUAUGUUAUAUUUCAUCAAACUCCCUCAAAAAGAAAACCCUAAGCUCCUACAUCCAACUUCAAGAACCUCCAAAGUUCANNNNNNNNNNNNNNNNNNNNNNNNNNNNNNNNNNNNNNNNNNNNNNNNNNNNNNNNNNNNNNNNNNNNNNNNNNNNNNNNNNNNNNNNNNNNNNNNNNNNNNNNNNNNNNNNNNNNNNNNNNNNNNNNNNNNNNNNNNNNNNNNNNNNNNNNNNNNNNNNNNNNNNNNNNNNNNNNNNNNNNNNNNNNNNNNNNNNNNNNNNNNNNNNNNNNNNNNNNNNNNNNNNNNNNNNNNNNNNNNNNNNNNNNNNNNNNNNNNNNNNNNNNNNNNNNNNNNNNNNNNNNNNNNNNNNNNNNNNNNNNNNNNNNNNNNNNNNNNNNNNNNNNNNNNNNNNNNNNNNNNNNNNNNNNNNNNNNNNNNNNNNNNNNNNNNNNNNNNNNNNNNNNNNNNNNNNNNNAAUGAUUUGACCUUUUGGUCUUAAUGGAGUUGUUUUAAACUCGAGUGUGAAAGAAAUCCAUAACGUGGUUGAUUUUGAUAGGUGGGAAGCAUGAUGGCUCCCGAUGUAUAUUUAUAUAUUACUGAAAUUGUUUUGUUGUGGAUUGUUUUUGAAAUGUUCUGAGCUAAAUCUGGGAGAAAUAUUUAGCACCCAGUGGGAGGUAUAAAGCGACCUUACUUCCCUAGAACUACGUGCCCACGUAAGAGUGAGGCUGAGGCUGAUUUAUAUAGUGAUCAUUAGUUUGUGUGGAUUUGAUAUCGAUAGUCCUACUCCGAUGGCAAGGAUAGGGAGGCUUUCCCCAACGUGGGUUAUACGUUAGACUCCAUGUAGCUCACAUGAUUUAUGUCGGUUAUAGGAUCUCCCNNNNNNNNNNNNNNNNNNNNNNNNNNNNNNNNNNNNNNNNNNNNNNNNNNNNNNNNNNNNNNNNNNNNNNNNNNNNNNNNNNNNNNNNNNNNNNNNNNNNNNNNNNNNNNNNNNNNNNNNNNNNNNNNNNNNNNNNNNNNNNNNNNNNNNNNNNNNNNNNNNNNNNNNNNNNNNNNNNNNNNNNNNNNNNNNNNNNNNNNNNNNNNNNNNNNNNNNNNNNNNNNNNNNNNNNNNNNNNNNNNNNNNNNNNNNNNNNNNNNNNNNNNNNNNNNNNNNNNNNNNNNNNNNNNNNNNNNNNNNNNNNNNNNNNNNNNNNNNNNNNNNNNNNNNNNNNNNNNNNNNNNNNNNNNNNNNNNNNNNNNNNNNNNNNNNNNNNNNNNNNNNNNNNNNNNNNNNNNNNNNNNNNNNNNNNNNNNNNNNNNNNNNNNNNNNNNNNNNNNNNNNNNNNNNNNNNNNNNNNNNNNNNNNNNNNNNNNNNNNNNNNNNAUUUUGUUAUCUUUCUGAAAUUCUUUUAUUCUUGGGUGAUGAUUACUCUGUUGAUAUUUGAGGGUUAUUUAUGAAAACCCCGUUGAUUUGUGUUGAACUGAAUGAAAAUGGCUCAAAGGGUUAGCUUGGGGCUACUCGUAGCCUCAAGCACCGUGUGACACUCCGGGACCCAUUUUCCAGGGCGUUAAACUUUCCUGACUCAGGUAAGUUUUUUUUCAUGCCAAUUUGUAGUAUAUGUUGUAUUACAUCCGGAUAUUCUUUUCUUUACUUUUGUUUUUAUGUUUUUUGUCAAUUCAUAUGUAUUCUAAAUAUGGUUGAUCCAGUAUGGGACAUUGCUAUUCUGCAAGACACCGUGAAUGAACUUCGGAUGCAGGUUCGUGACCUGCAAUGGGAAUUGGGAGCAGCUAGAGCAAGGAUGCUCUGUGAGAUCGCAAGCUGAGAAGGGCCUUGCUGCUACCGGUUAAGAUUGGCCGGUUGGCUAUAAUAAUAAUAAUAAUGCUGAUGAUAAUAAUAAUUAGAUUUUUUUAGUCUAUGUAUUUUUAUUUAUUUUUGUUUAAUAAAAAAAUAUGUUUGAUCAACUUUGACGUUUUAAUUCAAAUUUAAUUUUCAUUCUGUCUAUUAUCUUCUCAACAAAUAUGUCGACGAUUGGACAUAAGGAAUAAAUUUAAAUCCAGUAGCAGUAGCAAGAGUUGAAACAUAUUGGUUAUCUAUUGGGUUUGUGGCAGUGGCUGAUUUAUGUUAUUCAAAAUAGAUUACUCAUUUGUUGCAAUAGAUUACUUAUAUGUUGCAACAGAUAAUCAGUCUGAUGCAACAGAUAAUCAGUCUGAUGCAACAGAUAAUAAGUCUGUUACAACAGAUAACUAGUCUGUUGCAACAGAUAACUAGUCUGCUGUAUGGCUUUGACGUUUAAUUUAUACUCCCUCCGUCUUAAAUUACUCGUCCCAAAUUGAGAUGACACAUUGAUUAAGAAAAAUAAUUUAUAACAUGCCUAGUUUACCAUAAUACCCCUAUUAAAUGAUGUUUACAUUUUAAUUUGAAGAAAAAGUAAUUAAUGCAAAGGGUAAAACAUGAAUUUUUUUGUGUCUUCUUGAUUAAUGGAAAAAGACAUGUAAAAUGAGAAAUCAAAUUAGAAAAUUUGGAAUGGGUAAUUUGAGACGGAUGGAGUAUUUAAUUUUUAUUUUGUCUAUUAUUUUCUCAACAAACAUAUCGAUGAUUGGACGUAAUGAAUAAUUUUGAAUCCAGUAGCAAUAGCAAGAGUUGAAACAUAUUGGUUAUCUGUUGGGUUUGUGGUAGGGACUAAUUUGUUUUGUUCCAAACAAAUUACUCAUCUGUUGUAACAGAUUACUCAUAUGUUGUAAAAAAUAAGCAGUCUGAUGCAACAGAUAAUUAAUCUGAUGCAACAGAUAAUCAUUCUGAUGCAAUAGACAACUAGUCUGUUGCAUCAGAUAAAUCUUCUGUUGCAAUAGAUUACCCAUAUGUUCGAUUCAUGUUACGGGCACUAUAGAAGAAUAAACAUGAAUCCAAUAUAUGAGUCUUUUAUUGCAACAGAUUACUCAUCUGAUGCACCAGUUGAGUGAUCUAUUUAAAUUGUGGGUACUUAUGUUAGAUUUAUGAUCGGGUUCUAUCCAUUGUUGAAAAAAACAGCAGUAACUAUGUACCCAGAUGAUAAAUUCGAAUAAAAAUCAUAAUUUUACUUACCAAAGUCACCUAUGAAGUAAUGCUAGAGUGGAAAGUGAUGUAGGAAAUAAAAUUUGACCUAAGAAAUUGGUCAGAUAGCAGCAGUAGAAGUAACAAAAACAACAACAAUGGUCGACAAGAAGAAGAGGAAGAUGAUAAUGAAGUAGAAGAUGAUUAUAAUAAAGCAAAAGAUGGUGAAUAAAGUAGUAUGAAUAAUGAACAACAAUAAUCGUGAAGAGAGAGAGAAAAACAACGGAUGAAAAGAGAGAGAAACGCGUCUUUUUUCUUUCGUUUCCUGUUAUAUGAGCUAACAUUUGGAUCUAAAUUGAAAAACUUGUGGGUUAUUUUUAAAAAGGGAUGGGUAGGAACUAUUCUGGCCAGUAAUAGUGACUAACGUCCCUAUGCGCUUUAAUACACUACAUUAGAUAAUGAAUACCAAUCUCUAACAACCAAUUUUCACCUCUACAAACUUCACACAUCAUUCUCUUUCUCCUUAUUUCAUAAAUCUCACUCAGAUAGCUUAUGGCGGGAGUAUUUUCCAUGUUUACAUCAUAUCAUUUUGAACUUUUUAUGCCACUAUUUUUUUUAAGAUAAAUCUCACUCCCAACCAAUUAUAUCAUAUUCAGAUGCCAAAAACUAUUACUUUGGGGCUACAUUUUCACCCUUUUAUCUUUCUAUUUACAACUCUUUACUAAAUUUUUUUUACCAAAGAGCUUAGGAGAUUUGUAUCAAGUUGAGGUUAAUCAAGGAAGGAUUAGGCUACACAUGAUGUUACUAAAGAACAAGCUAAAGGCUCAACGGGGCUAGCUAAGAUUAUGCACAAAGGUGGUUCAAAAGAGGGUAUAAAAAAGAUAUGGCUAUCAAAGAAGUUCCUAAAUCAUCUCCUAAACUCACAUUCUUUAUUUCAUUUCACACGCACACCAGGCAAGUUCUAGCAUCAAUUGCAACAAGGAAUAUGCGAAUACCCUCAUACACACAUGGAACUUGCUUAACUCUAACAUGAUCAUUAUAGACUUUUAACCAAACAGUUAUAUGAAUUCACUUUAAGCCAACAAUCACCACACGAGUCAUAAAUUAGAACUUAGGUGUCUCAACAGUAAAGGUUUAUCACAUGCAUGCCUGUAUUAUUGUGUGACUCACUAGAAUAAAUUACACUUACUUGUUAGGUCCUAUACAUGACUGAUUUUCUCUUAAGACGGUCGUUAUCCAUCUAUCAUUGAGAAAAAUACCUAACUAUGACUACAAACUAACAUAUAUGUAGAAGCAAAACAAAUGCACUAAACUAUCAAAUUCAAAAUGGCAAAAUAAAAUGCACUAAAGAGAAGACAAAACAGUAAGCAAUCUAGAAACACUUCUAUCCACCCCACUCUCUAAGCAAAACACUGUCCCUAGUGUAAAUACAUAAAUAAAAACCUGGCUAGUCGGACUCUUCUUCCACAUUUAGGGUCAUGCCACCUGCAUCAGAAUCAUUAUCAGAGUCUUCCUCACUAGAUUAGGCCUCCAUGUCAGAAUCUAACAGUCAGUGAUCCUCAUCCGUUGGUACAUCAUCAUCUAAUGGUUCCUCAAAACUAGUCCCCACUCCACACAUAGCUCUAGCAUGCUUAUUAAGUAGAUAGUCAUAAUCCAGCUGGCGUAGCUCUGCAGCAGUAGGCACAUGGCCUCCACUCAUCAUAGUGAGCUUCGUCAUGCCAUAAAAAUGGUAGAAAAAGCUCUCUUCUCGUGGCUGAUGUUCAAUAGUACUAAGAAUUAUGCCUUGGCUGGUCUCUGCAUCUUUCACCUUUGUGACAUCCACUCUUUUUGGGUUCUGAGGUAACUUGUGAUCAGUUGGCUCUGCUUCAAUAUUUUUCUUUUUUUUUAAAAUAGCGGUCAACAAGCUUCCAAGGAUAAAUGGUGUCUUUUUAUGCAUCCUUGCUUUGCACAUAGAAGCAUGUAUAACCGCACCAACGUUCACAGGAACAUCAGUCAUCAAAGCAUAUACUAAACAUACUCGAUCGCGAGAGACUUUGGUGAACUGCUUUUCCGAAAUCAAGCUGGCAUUGACUAUCCUUAGCCAGAUACUAGCUUCUUUGUUCGAAAAUAUAUGAGAGGGAAUUGUAGUGGCCUUUGUCCUUGUGAUGGAACCACCGAGACAUAGACCUUGAACCGUAUAAAGUAUGCCUGAUAGCUCUAUAGUGAGGCCUGCUGUAUAAUUCCUUCAACAAUGAUCCACAUUCGGAGUUCCCAAGAAAGAUUUAAAAAAUCGGCCAUCAGAUAUAGGAUUUGCCCUCGAAUUUUAACUUCAUUCCCACUGGUAUUUGGGGACCAAUUAGCAUAAAACUCCCGAGUCCAAUCUAGAUUGCACUCACCCAUGUCUUGGAAAAUAAAGUCAAGUUUUAGUUCUAUAAUCCUAGCCAAUAUACGAGGGCAGUGCCUCGCCAAACUCUCCCUUUGAAUAAGCUCCAGUGGCACGUAUAUAUAUACUUUGUUAUCCUUGUACCACUCCUGACCAUCCUCUAAGACCUAUUUAAUUCCAAAAGUAUGUCGAGGCCCUGGAAGAGAGGAUGAGGUGGGUUUCUCCUUUCUUGCUCUUUUCUGUCCCUUUUGAGAUAUGGAUGCUUUGUCUUUUCCAGUGCUUCCUUUAGGAGCCAUAUCACCUGAGUGCAUUAUAUAAUCAUGUUAGCCACACUUAAUCAAAACUCACUAUAAUUAAGAAGAGGGUGGUGAAAUCACCACGCCAUACUUAAUUUGUUAGUAUAAACCAAUUAAGUGGUGUUGUCGGGUACUCAGACUUCACUGACAUACACUUUGAUCUUGGGUGCCAACAUUAUUAGCACAUUUGCAACUCACAUGGUGGAUUUUUUUUUUCUUUUGCGAGUCAUAAUUUCACUCCAUAAAUCCCUCACAUUCCACAAUAAUAUUGCAAUUCAAACUAACACACAAUUGGUGCACAAAAUCAAUUCGUAUUAACACCACCAAUUCCACCACUUUUACUUCAAUAAUGCAACUUUUGAACAAAAUUAUGCUUUACAACUUCAACAUAUCACAAUACCCAAACAUCAUCACCCUUCCACACUUUUUAUCAACAUCAUGUUCAACAAAAUAAGACGUGCAAUAGUGGUUACACAACAACCAUGUUCGUUGUGAACAAUUCAUUCACAUGUACAAACACAAAAUACUACAAAAUAAUGCCUUAAAUCUUCUACACCUCAAUACCCACAAGACACCAUGACUCACACAAAACAACCAACAAUAUAUUCAGAGGUAAAAUUAAAAUCUACAACAAUGAUGGUUUCCACAAUAAUGGUGUUCAUCUUCCCCAAGAGUUUCAAAACUACUUUUACAAAGCUAUGGCAAGAAUUUAAUCUAUAACCCUCAAAAAAUCAAUUAACUAUACAUAAAGUCACAAUAACUAAGGAUUAAGAAAGUAAAACUUACCUUUGAAGAUGGAAGAUUUGGAAAAGAAGAGGAAAAUUCUUGAGAUUGUUAAUCAAAGAGUAAUCUUGAAGGACAAAGAGAAUAGUGAUAGAGAAAGAUUGUAAGGUUUAGGGGUAAAAUAGGGAUAAAUUUGGGAAUUUAGGGUGUGGAGUCUAUUUAAAGAAUGAAAUCCGGGUUGGGUUUACCCAAGUUAAAAUCGGAUACUAUGCUGAAAUUUGAGUGGUGUGCGGCGCACAUGGUAUCGCACAAGGGUAAGUGUACGACGCAUACUAUAUUGCCUAACCCAAACAGUGAGCAUGUGCAGUAUGGUUGGCGUCGCACAUGUUAUCGUACAAGUUUAAGUAGGUGGUACACAACCUAUCUCAUACAUUAACUUAGGUGCCGCAUAAGCAAUUGCCAACUUGAACCAAUAAGGGUGUAUGGCUGGGUAAGCGAUGCAUAAGCAAUCGCCUAAAGAAAGGUGUGCGGCGCACAUCUUGCCGCUCAAGUUAAGUUAGGCGCUGCACAAAGCAACGCCCAUGCGAGGCAGUGGGCUUAGGCUUAAUAUUAGGCGACGCCUUUGCCAUGGCCUAUGUAAACUUGGCUGUCACACACCCUAUAGUACACUUAAAGUUGGACGCCAUGCACCCCAUUCUCCAUAUUAGGCAUAAUUUGAGUCACAACUCUCACACGAAUUGAGCCUUAACAUUUUUACCAAUCCAACUUACCUGUAAUGUUCCCGUUACUCCUAAACUUACCACCUUUAAUAUGGCUCAAUUUCAAACUAACUUUAGAACCUAUCACCUCUUUGGUGCUUCAAACACCUACACUUAAUAAAAAAUAACUAAAAAUGAUUAGAAAGGUGGGUUGCCUCCCACCAAGCAUCGUAGUUUCGCUCGUGGCUCGACUCUGACUUUUGUAUUUUUUUUACAUAUAAAAAUCAAAGUAAAAUCAUGGGUUGACUCCCAUGUAAUGCCUGAUUUAUUAUCAUGGCAUGACUCAUUUAUCUUGAUUACUCAUACUUCAUCGAGAUAGAUAGUAGCAAUACUUUUUAUCAAGUCUUUUGGACCGAUAUAAAGUUUGACUCGUUGCCCGUUAACUUCGAAGACACGUCUAUCUUUAUUUUUAAGUUCGAAUACUACAGAUGAGUAAACUUGACUCACUUUAAAUGGGCCUAGCCACUUGGACUUAAGUUUACCUGGGAACAGUUUGAGUUUGGAGUUGAACAGAAGCACCAAGUCACCUUUCUAGAAAUCUCAUUUUUCAAUCCUCCGAUCAUGAUACUUCUUCAUCUUCUCCUUGUAUAGGUCUGACCUUUCAUAAGACCUGAGAUGGAAUUCAUCUAUCUUGUUCAGUUGUGCCAGUCUUAGAUCCGCUGCUUUCUUCCAAUUCAGAUUUAACCUUUGAGUGCCUAUAAAGCCUUGUACUCCAGCUCUAUCAGUAAGUGACAAGCUUCGACAUAGACUAACUAAUAUAAUGACAUACCGAUGGGUGUCUUGAAAGUAGUCCGAUACACCCACAAGGCAUCAUCGAGCUUUCGAGACCAAUCUUUCCUACUAGCGUUCACCGUUUUGGCUAGGAUGGCUUUAAUCUCCUAAUUUAAAACCUCCACUUUCCCACUAGUUUGUGGGUGAUAUGGAGUUGCUACUCUAUGCUGUUUCACCCCAUAUUUUGCCAAGGCAGCUCGAAAUACUUUGUUGCAAAAAUAAGAUCCUCUAUAGCUUAUAAUAGUAUGUGGUACUCCAAAAGGAGAGAAGAUGUUCUUUUUGAGAAAUACAACAACUCUCUUUCCUUCAUUAUCAUCCAAGGUGAUAGAUUCAACUUAUUUUGAUACUUAAUCAACAAUAACUAGAAUGUAUUUUAUCCCAUACGAGCUUACAAAAGGGCCCAUGAAAUCGAUGCCCCAGACGUCAAACAAUUCUACUUCCAGCAUCUUCAUCAAAGGCAUCUCAUGUCGCUUGGAGAUUGACCCCUGCCUCUGACAUUGGUCACAACUUAGCACAAACUCAUAAGCAUCCUAGAAUAAAGUUGUCCAAUAAUAGCCACUCUGCAACACCUUUCUAGCAGUUUGAUCACCUGCAUGGUGACCUCCAACUGGGAAAGCAUGACAUGCUUCCAAUAUACUCAAUACAUCUACUUCAGGCAUACAUCUCCUUAUUAUAUUAUCAGCACACCGCCAAAAUAGAUACGGCUCAUCCUAGAAGUAAUGUGUCACAUCAUGAAGGAAUUUAUUUCUUUGAUGAAAAGAAAGAUUUUUCGGAACCAACUCACUCACCACAUAGUUUGGAAAAUUAGCGUACCAAGGCAUUUUCUCCAUAACAACAGCCAAGAUCUCUUCAUCCAAAAAUGUAUCAUUGAUCUUUAUUUCUUCUCUAACUGCUUGCUCACCUUCCAUCCUAGAUAGAUGAUCUACAACUUGGUUUUUGCAACCUUUCCUAUCUUUGACUUCAAAAUCAAAUUCUUGGAGCAGCAACACCCAUCUAAUAAACCUUGGUUUUGUAUCAUUCUUAGCAAUUAAAUAUCUCAAGGCUAUGUGGUUAGUGUGAACUACCACCUUGGUUCCUAGCAGAUAAUCCCAAAAUUUCUCAAAAGCAUAGACUACAGCAAGGAGUUCCUAUUCGGUGAUGGUGCAGUUCUUUUGAGAUCCAUUCAAUGCUUUGCUGGCAUAAUAGAUUAGAUGAAAUAAUUUAUCCUUCUUUUGCCCCAACACAGCUCCAAGGGCAAUACUGCUUGCAUCACACAUGAUCUCAAAUGGUUUUAACCAAUCCGGUGCAACAAUGAUAGGGGCUUUAACCAGCUUUUUUUAAGGCAUUCGAAUGCCUUCAAGUAAUCAUCAUCAAAGGAGAACUUAACUUCCUUCUUUAAAAGUUUGCAAAGUACGUUUGCAAUCUUUGAGAAGUCCCUUAUAAACCUCUGGUAAAAGCCAACAUGUCCAAUAAAAAAACUACGCACUUCCUUCACAAAAAUGGGAUUUGGUAGAUUCUCAAUAAACUCCACCUUAUCUCGAUCUACCUUUAUCCCUUUUGCUAAAAUUUUGUGCCUGAGAACAAUGCCCUCUUUUACCAUAAAGUGGAAUUUCUCCUAAUUGAGCACCAAAUUGAAUUCCACACAUCUUUGCAAGACCCUACUCAGGUUCGAUAAACAUAGCUCAAAUGAAAAAAUCAUCCAUGAACACCUCCAAGGUGUUCUCCACCAUAUCUGAGAAAAUAGACAUCAUACACCUUUGGAAGGUAGCAGGUGCAUUACAUAACCCAAACGGAAUCCUCUUGAAUGCAAAAGUUCUAUACGAGCAUGUAAAUAUCAUCUUGUCCUAAUAUUCAGGAGCAAUACAGAUCUAAUUGUAGCCAGAAUAGCCAUCUAAGAAGCAAUACCACCCCUUUCCUACCAACCGAUCAAGCAUUUGAUCCAUGAAGGGCAUUGGAAAGUGAUCUUUUAAGGUCCAUAAGUUUAGUUUUCGAUAGUCCAUGCAAACCCUCCACCCAAUCAUAGGCCUGAGAGGAAUCAACUCAUUCUUUUUAUUUGCAACAAUAGUCAUGCCCCCUUUCUUGGGCACACAUUGAACUAGGCUUACCUAUUUACUGUCAGAAAUAGGAUAAACCACUCCUGCAUUCAGCCACUUAAUAAUUUCCUUCUUAACCACCUCUUACAUUUGUGGGUUAAGUCGGUGUUGAUGCUCGAUGGUUGGAGUACAGUCUUCCUCAAGUUGUAUCUUGUGUGUGCAGAUGCUAGGGAGAAUGCCAAUAAUAUCAUCAAUAGUCCAACCUAUUGCUCUUUUGUACCUUUGAAGCACUGAUAUAAGUUAUUCCACCCACUACUCGCCCAAAUCAGCUGCAAUAAUCAUGUGUAACGUGUUUCCAUUGCCCAAAAACACAUACUUUAAGUGCCCUGGUAGCUCUUUCAAUUCCAACACCGGUGGCUCUUCAAUGGAUGGCUUCGCCGGUGGUGUUGGUCCAUUCUUAAGAUCAAGAUCUAGCUUCUUAAGAGCAUAAGAGUAUAAUCCCAUUUCUACCAAAGCACAAAUAGUCUCUUCAUACUCCUCAAUGCCUUCACAAUUAAAAUUCAUAAGCACUACAGCUAAAGGCUCGAUAACAAACUUCUCCUCUAUUGGCACCUCCCGCUCAUCCUCAUAAUAUACAUCAAUAAUUGAGAACACACUUAUUUAUUUAUGAUGUUGUAUUGAUUAGCACAUAUCAAAGCAUACCACUUCAUCAUUCAUCCUAAAUGAGAGCCCAUUAGCUUGCAAAUCAAUCAGCACACUUUCGGUUACGAGGAAAGGUUGACCUAAGAUUAUGGGAACCUCAAAGUCCACCUCAUAAUCCAGAAUUAUGAAAGCAACAGGAAAUAUGAAGUUAGCCACCUUCACCAGCACUUCAUACAAAAUACCAACAGGUCAUUUUACCGACCUAUCCGCCAUCACAAGUCAUAUGUUGGUGGGUGUGGGAUCUUCCAAACCCAACUUUUUAUAAAUAGCUAUAGACAUUAGAUUAAUGCUCGCUCCCAGAUCACAUAAGGCCUUAGCAAAUUUCAGAGACCCAAUCGUACAAGGAAUAGUGAAUGCUCCUGGGUCUGCCUUCUUUUGCACCAAGGACCUAGUAGAAAUAACACUAUAAUGAUGGAGAUUAUCCACCAGUUCGUAGCUCACUGCUGUUUUCUUCGUCACAAGAUCCUUCAUAAAUUUAGUAUAUCUUGGUAUUUUCUCAAGUGCCUCUAUCAAAGGCACAUUUACUGUCAACUACUUCAACAUUGCCAUGAAUUUACUAAACUUUGUGUCAUCAACCUUUUUUUUCAAUCUCUGAGGGAAGAGAGGUGGUGGUUUUGGGAGAGUCUUCACUACUACUUUCUUUUCCUUCUCUUUCCCUUUUUCCAACUCAUCAACCUAUUGAUGAUUAGAAAGGAUAUCAAUACUAUCCAGCUUUUCAGUCUCAAUUAGAUUACCUUCUUCAAGAUCAACAUAUUCAUUCACAGCUUUACCUAAAAAAGUGCCUAAUAAAACCUUACCACUCUAUGUGGUAAUAGCCAUGCACGAUCCAUCAUUUUGAGGGUUCUGAAUUGUAUCACUUGGUAGUAUUCCACUCUUCCUAUGAUUCAAUACUGUAGAGAGUUGAAUGAUUUGCUGUUCUAACUAUUUGAUUGAAGUGGAGUGCGAGUUUACUAACUGACUCAUAGAAAACAAAUUGUUCUUCAUGGCAGUCACCCCUGAGUUGGUAGCCUCAACUUCUUUUAAUAAUUUCUCCAUCAUGUCCUCCAUGGACAUCUUUCUAGAGCUACUUGCAGCAUUAUCUCUACUUCCAUGAGGCACAUAUAUCCCACUUCUAUCAUUCUUGCUCUUCUAGUUCCCUUGAUCCUGAUCCUUAUAUCCAGCCUUAUCAUAAUAAGUCCGACCUUGAUUUCCUUGGUUAUUUCCUCGAAAAACCUCCUGGUUAUUCAAAUAGUUAGCCUCUUCUUCCAAAUCAGAAUCAUCUUUACCUUGGGAUGCAACAACUUUCACUUUUUUCAGUCUUUGCAGAGAAUAAGUGCUUGGUCAACAAAUCCAUCUGCGUUUUCAAGUGUGCCAUGUCUUGAUCACGUUCUUCCUCUUUCUUACGUUGUUCUGCAGUCAUGCCAAUAGACACAGUAGGUCUUGCUACCAUAGAAUCCCUGGCAUGCUAAGCUCUACUUUGUUUGGUUAUUCGAUCAAGCAUUUUUGAAUCCUCUUAAAAAGUGAGAUCCACAAAUGAUCCCCUUGCAACUUUAUCAACAAAUGGCUUCGUAAUAGUGUUCAAAGCUCGAUAAAAAGUCUCCAUCAGAUGAAUAUCUGUUAUAUUAUGGUUUAGGAAUUGCAUCAGCUUCUUUUUUAACCUAUUCUAUGUCUCGUGAAGAGCUUCAGUUGGGAGCUUUCUAAAGUUACUGAUCUCAUCCCUCAACUGUACCCUCCUAUAAGGUGGAAAGAACCUUUUUAGGAAAGCCACUUUCAACUGCCUCCAGUUGGUUGUAGAACCGGGCGUCAUCUUAUUAAGCCAUAAGGUUGCCUUCCCAGACAAAGAUAACAAAAAUAAACAUAGGCGGAUGGCAUUUUGUCCCACUCUAGGGUUAUCAAAGGACUUGAAAAUAGUGACAAAGUUCACUAAAUACAUAU
rnacentral:lncRNA from 1 species